rnacentral:lncRNA from 1 species
CUUGGACCUAGUGGGGAGAUCGGCGGAGUCGGCGGCCGAACCCACUGGGAACUAAGGAAGUUAGUUCUCACCCCCAUUUUUACCACAGGUUCCAGUUCGGGUGUCCCCGGUGAGCGUGAGGAUCGCGGUAAGGGCCCGGCGUUUUAGUAGCAUUAGCUACCUUCCUUUUUGCACUAGCCGUCACCCUUUUAUAUUUGAGAGUAGAUGAUGUAUAGGGUGAGGUUCGAGUGAUUGUAUUUAUAUUUUGGAAGAAUGUAAAAGAUGUAAUUGAAUGUAUUGAGUCAAAUGAAUGUAAUAGAUAGCUCUUCUCUCUUAUGUACUUGUAUAUGUUUCUAUACUUGUAUCUUGCUCUCGUCUUAUUAGCACUUGUUGUGCUCUUGUGAUUGUGUACUUAUGAGUUGAUUCCUGGGUAAACUCUUGUACAUGAUCGUUUGCUUAGCCUUGGGCGGACAGGGGAGACUCUGUCCGUUCGGCGUCUGUUCGACGCGCCCGGGCCCGAACCAAAUUGGUAGCGGUCGCGGGGCGUGACAGAAACCGAUACCAAUUUGGUCCAGUUCGGGCGCGUCGAACAGACGCCGAACGGACAGCACCUCCCCUGUCCGCCCAAGGCCAACAGCGAGAUCAUGUAAAACAAGUUCCUAGGAAAUCACUUGAAUACAUACAUGAUCACAUAACAACUAUGAGGGGAGCAGAAUCAGUGCUAAACAACUAAGAGCAAGAUACAAGUAUAGAACAUACGAGUAAUAAUAAAGAGAGAAGAGGCUAUCUAUUACAUUCAUUCAGCCUUUAUAAUACAACUUGAUUAUGCAUUAAGCUUCUAAACAUAAUAUAAAGCUUACAUCUUCUAAAAUAUAAACAUUAGCUUACAUUCAUCCCAAAAUAGCUCACAACCUAUACAUCAUCUACUCUCAAUGUAUAUAAAGGUAACUCUAGUGCAGAAAUAGGAAAGUAAACUAAUGCAACUAGGGCGCUAGGCCCUUACCGCGAUCCUCACCGCGUGAACUCGCGCUCGGCCCUGUAGUAAAAUGGGGGUGAGAACUAACUUCCUUAGUUCCCAGUGGGUUCGGCCGCCGACUCCGCCGAUCUCCCCACUAGGUCCAAGUGGGCACCAGUAGAUAAUUGAUAGAUAGAUAGAUAAGGAAAGCGGUAAAUGACAGAAGUAAAGGUACUCUACUAUGCCCAAUCAUAAAUAUAUGAAUGCAUGUACAAUGAAAUAGGUAAGCAACUAACCCAUUACCAUGUCCAAAGGUAAAGUCAUUUACUCGUUCAUCAAUCUUAUUUACUUGUUUCUUAAUCUCGUGGCUUCCCUGAAGGAGCCUACAGCUCACUAGCCAUCUCGAAGGUAGGGAGGGUCAACUCGCACUACGAACCGAGACCGUCUGCCGGGGCCUAAAAUAGGCAAUCCCUUGGGACCCAAACUAGGCAAUCCCACGUGACCAACUCCGGAGCGCACUACUUGUGUGGGGCUUCCAUCACAAGAUUUAAAACAGACCGUGAGCAUGAUCCAAUCCUCGUCUCGAGAAUACCCUAUCCUUUAGGGGUACAAUCAUCAUAUAGUCCAUAGGUUUCACAUACACUAUGACUCAUAUGUGUCAUUUGUUCUUUUGCUUACUAGCAACUAAAUGCCACUUGUUCAUUUGUUUGCUAUCGACUAGAUGCCACUCGUUCUUUGUUUAACAUUAGACCAACCGUCGAGCCCAUCUCUUUCUCUGCACUAUAGGAUUCACAAGUCUCGACCCAAUCCUUAUCGAUCCACUACUAUGUCAAGUAUCCAAUACAUGCUACGAUAUCAUCAAAGAAAGCAUAAGGAAAGGCAGUGCACAAUCAUCCUAUAAUGCAAUAAUACAAGAUGCAAGAAUCGACAUGUACUAAGACAUAGAAGGGAGCCCGAUUGCUUCGGGAUGGACACCACCCACCUUUUAUAGCGUUCCGAUUGCUCGUCGUCACUCGCAAUCGGCCUCCCGCGGCGCACGCCGCUUGGCUCGACCCAAUCCGCGCGCGCGACCACCAAACGACCUCCGAUCCGCGAUCCGAAAAUUAAAGGUCUUUGGUUUCCUAUUACGAUGCUUCAAAUCCGUUUCCAGGAUUUUACAACGUCGCCUCGGCCCUCCAGGCAGAAACGAAGCCUAAACGUCCGUUUCUUUAAUAACUUUGCACCGGCUAGACGAAUCGCCGAACCGUCGCUUCCAACGCGUUCAGUGACCUAUCAAUUAGGUUUCCAGAGGGUUAAAUGAGAUCAAACCCUCAUAUUUUCAAAAAUUGCAUUUCAAGCCCUAGGUUUAUAACUAGGUAAGAAUUAAUUAAAUUGAUCCUAGAUUCUAGCAAUAAUCAUCUAUUUAGCAUGCUAGAAUAGCUCUAAAUCCAUUCUUGAAGCUUAAAACCCAAACUACAAAGAGAUACCAUUAAAGGGUUUUGAAGCUUACCUUCAAACCAUGCUCCAAUGGAGAGGAAGAAGAUGGAGAAGAUGGAAAUCCACCUUAGAGCUUCAAUCUCCACCAAAAUCAUCUCUUUUUGGGAGAGAUUUAGAGAGAGAAAGGAGAGCUUUCUCCUUUCCCUUCCAUGCGUGUAUGGGUGUGUGUGUGUGUGUCGGUUUGGGGCUGCUACGGCUGAGGAAGAAAGGGAUUUGAUCCCUUUUUACGAGUUAGCCCCUCAACUAUGCAAUCCUUCAAUUUAGUCCCUAAAUCUGAUAAGUUUCGUUGGAGCCCUUCUGGAUGUCCGAUUGAGCUCAAAUUUGACAGGCAUGCUCAGUUUAACGUACUGAGCAAGAAUAUAUCUUAAGUUUUCAGUUUCGACCCCGUUUGGUCACCGAAAACUGUGCCGAACUGCAAUCUUUAUCAGAUAGCCUUCGGAUUUUAUUUCUCACUCUACGGGUGUCAGAAAAAUAUGAAACCUUAAAUCUAGCCUCAUAAAAAUAUUCCUGACUUAUUCUCUAAUUUUCAUAAUUUUCUGAGACUGCAUUUUCUGCUAAUUUUUCUGUCCCGUUUCCAACAGAAAAUUUCAGAUCUUCUGUUUUCAUCCCGAUUUCAGCACAAGUCACUUCUGACUUAUGUUUUACUUCUCUAAAUCCAAUAAAAUAGUAUCUCAUACUAUUUUUAUUUAUUUAUUUAUUUUUUAUUUUUAUAUUUAAAUCCGGUAUGUUACAUUACACCGCAACCUUCCCGGAACCAUUCAAAUGGCUCUCCAACCAAAUGGACACCGUAACCUCAUGAUUUUCGAAGUCCGAUACCCUACAUCCUCCCCUCCUUAAAAAGAGUUUCGUCCUCGAAACGAACUCAAUAUUGCAAAACUUAUUUAGAACUUUAAAUUCUAAACUCAUACCUUGACUUAAUCCUCGAACAAGUGAGCAUGAUUCGCCUUCAUCUCCUCCUCAAGCUCCCAGGUGGCUUCGCGAUCGUCAUGAUUGCUCCACCGAACUCGGACAUAAGGAAUUUUCCGAUUCCUUAACUUGCGCACUUCACGAGCAGUAAUCGCCACCGGAAACUCCUCAUAACUUAGGUCUUCCUGAAGCUCCGGUGGUUCGUAUAACAUUGCAUGCUCGGGAUCAGGUAUGUACUUGCGCAAAUUGGAGACGUGGAACACGUUGUGCACAUCCGCUAGUUUUGGAGGCAACGCGAGCCGAUAAGCCACCAUUCCAAUCCGUUCCAAGAUCUCAUAGGGGCCAAUAUAUCGGGGACUUAAUUUUCCCCGAACUCCAAAUCGCUUAACGCCCCUCAUAGGCGAAACCUUCAAGAAAACGCGGUCGCCCACCGCGAAUUCCAAAUCCCGUCGGCGCCUAUCCGCGUAGCUCUGUUGUCGAGAUUGCGCAGAGAGUAACCGCUUCCGAGCAAGGCGGACCUUUUCUUCCGCCUCCCGCAACACAUCGGGGCCAAAUUCCGUGCGCUCGCCCACGUCACUCCAAUAAAUAGGAGAGCGGCACUUCCGCCCAUAAAGAGCUUCGAACGGUGCCAUCUCCACGCUAGCGUGAUAACUGUUGUUGUAGGCGAAUUCGGCCAUUGGCAAAUACUUACACCAACCUCCUUUGUAAUCGAUGACACACGCUCGCAACAUAUCCUCCAGAGUCUGAAUAGUCCUCUCGAUUUGUCCGUCUGUCUGGGGAUGGAAUGCAGUGCUAAAAUCGAGCCAUGUGCCAAGGGCCUCCUGUAGGCUUUUCCAGAAAUGUGAAGUGAACUUGGGGUCUCUAUCCGACACAAUCGAUUUCGGCACCCCGUGCAACCUCACUACCUCGUCAAGAUAUACCCCACGUGUGACGCUCUAGAUGUGACUGGUGUUUUCAGACUUUAUAGAUAAAUGGGUCUUCCUCAAUUUGUACGCCGUCUCCGCCACCGAUCUCGAUAAUUUCCUAAUGCUACAGCUGUAAGAGAUGGUGGGACCGUUUCGUUUACACCAACGCCUACGCAAAUCGUCCUUCAGCCGCUUCUUGGAGCGAAAACUACAAUGGGCCGUUUGUGGGGAUCCCGACCUCUACCUCGCUGACCUGGAGCUUCACCAGCGAGGGCUCCAGGGCCGAGUCGACUACCGCGAGCAAUAAGUUGGCUGGAAUAACCUCUCCUAGUCUUUAAACGUUGGACGUCUAGGCUCAGAGGUUUUCCACGCCGCGUUGUAGCUCCUUCCUGCUCUACCGNUAAAGUCACACCUGCGGCCACCGCGCGAGGCCAAAGCUUUGGCCACCACGCACGGGCUCUUACUUCUCGAAGCGCUCAACUAGAACGUCCUUCGGGUGGCCAGAGGUAUGCGCCUAGUGGGCCCGCCGUGGUUCUACAUAGUACUCAAUUCUCGUGAGAUAACCACCGGCCCCUACUAUCGACUAUAACCCGCGAAGCACCGCUUCACAAACUGAACAGUCGUUCACUUUCGCCUCGCGGCCAAAGGUCGCCCUUUCGAAGUUUCAGAUGGAUAAGGACAGACCUUUACCCUCCUAUAUAGAUACCUAAAGUAGCAACCGAAUGGAGCGAGCUGUCCCCCUGUGCUGCGUUAGACCCACUAACACCUAGCGAACUGCUUCAGUCGCGUGAAAAAUGGCUAGGUGUGGUGGACCCGCCCUCUAUUCAACCGCGUNGGUAGUGCCUCCACAACUUCAGCGCAAAGAUCACCGCCGCCAACUCCAAGUCAUGGAUGGGGUAGUUCUUCUCGUGGUCCUUCAGCUGACGGGAUGCAUAAGCUAUCACCCUCCCGCCUUGCAUCAGAACACACCCCAAGCCCAGAUAGGAUGCAUCGCUAUAGACCACAAAGUUCUCGCCCUGCACUGGUAAGGCGAGUAUCGGAGCCGACGUCAAUCUUUUCUUCAAUUCGUUGAAGCUUUGAUCACACUCGUCGCUCCAAAUGAACUUGACGCCCUUCUGAGUCAAACCGGUAAGUGGAGUUACAAUUUUCGAAAAGCCCUCCACAAACCGUCGAUAAUAGCCCGCUUAGCCCACAAAGCUUCGGACCUCCGUGACGUUUGUCGGGCGUGGCCAAUUCUCGACCGCUUCGACUUUCCUCGGGUCAACCGAAACACCGCCCUCGAAAAUCACAUGCCCCAAGAAGGCAACCUCUCGAUGCCAGAAAUCGCAUUUCUUUAGCUUUGCGAAUAGCUUCUCCUCCCGAAGGAUUUGAAGCACUAUCCGCAAAUGCUCCGCGUGUUCCUCAUCGUUUCGCGAAUAGAUCAAGAUGUCGUCUAUGAAAACCACGACAAAUCGGUCCAAGCACGUUUUAAACACACGGUUCAUUAGGUCCAUGAACGCUGCCGGGGCAUUUGUGAGCCCGAAAGGCAUAACCGUGUACUCAUAGUGUCCAUAACGUGUACGAAAUGCGGUCUUCUGAAUAUCCUCCGACUUAAUCUUUAACUGAUGGUAGCCGGAUUGUAGAUCUAUCUUCGAGUACACUCGUGACCCCUGUAACUGAUCAAAUAAAUCAUCGAUUCGGGGCAACGGGUACUUAUUCUUUAUCGUGACCCUAUUCAACUCUCGAUAGUCCACGCAGAGUCGAAAUGAGCCAUUCUUCUUGCGCACGAACAACACCGGCGCUCCCCACGGCGAUACGCUCGGCCGGAUAAACCCUUUGUCGAGAAGAUCUUGUAACUGGUCCCUCAAUUCCCUUAACUCUGCCGGCGCCAUACGAUAUGGGGCUUUCGAGAUUGGCGUCGUCUUCCGAAUCAAGUCUAUAACGAACUCGAUCUCCCGAUCCGGCGGCAUCCCCGGUAACUCCGUGGGAAAUACAUCCGGAAAUUCCCGCACCACCGAUAAAUCCUCUAAUUUCGGCACCACCCGGUCCACCUCCACGACGGUUGCCAAAAAUGCUACGCAGCCGCCGUUGACCAACUUCCUAGCUCUCGUCGCCGAUACUGUCGCGACGAAGCAAGAACUCCGACAAGCUCGAUAAACGACCUCCUUCUGUCCUGGCUCCCGAAAGGUGAUCGAUUUAUUCUUACAAUCGAUCGUGGCAUAAUACUUUGAGAGCCAGUCCAUGCCCAAAAUGACGUCAUACGCCUCCAGUUUAGUGAGUUCCAACAUCCGGAUGGGCAUCAUCCAGUCACCUACUUGUACUAGGCAUGACGAGCACUCCGUGUAGGUAUUAAACGACGAUUCAGGACCCUCGACUCGCCACUUGCCACUUGCUUCUAUGGGUAUGUCAUGCAUGCGUGGCACCCGUAUCGAACAUAGCUCUGGAGCGAACUCCAUUGAUUAGAACCAUACCUGCUACAACAUCAGGCUCCUCGGCUUGGGCGGGCCCCUCAGCAUGGGCUUGAGCGGCGAAUACCCGUCCGCUCGGCGCUGAUCGAGUCACCUCCGGCUGGUGCGGCGCCAGUGCGCGUCCCGCCGACACAGGAACAUACGGGGCCCCUCCUUGAUAAGGCGAGGGCGCUGGAGUCGAUGCGACUGACGGAGUAGACGAGGCCCUUGCCGGACAGUCGCGGCUGACGUACCCUUCUUGUCCAUAAUUAAAGCACCGCCCUUGUCGUUGUCUACACUGCGGUGCCCGAUGGCCUCGAUCUCCAUAGAUAGGGCAACGCUGCGGCCCACGGCCCCAUGACUGCGACGGCGGAUACUUCGGGGGCCUCCUUGAACUCGAUUGUCCCCCCGAACUGCCGCCCGAUUGCUUCUUCCCCUUGUCUGGGGAUCCGGUCAACAACUCACGCUCCUCCCGCACAUGGGCAUCUCCAUGCUCUGCCCACAGCGCCUUAUUGAAAACCUCAGCGAAAGUUGUGAGCUGGAACAAUUGCACUGCCCGAUAUAUCCAUGGCCGAAGUCCUCGCAAGAACCAUUCGGCCCGAUCCGCGUCAUCCUUGACCACGUCUGGGACACAGUCUAUAAUGUGGGAGAACUCCUGCUCAUAGUCCGCCACGGAGCGAUCCCCCUGUCUCAAUUUGCGAAACUUUUCCUUUAGCUUCCACUUCUCGGUGUCGGGGAAGUAAUUUCCAAACACUUCCCUCUUCAACUCAUCCUAGAGCAUUGGUGGAAGGUCAGAGGGUCGAUCUCGCUUCAACCGCUUCCACCACACCUUCGCCGCCUUGUCAAGGCAAUGGGUGGCGAAAGGCACUUUAUCCUUCUCCGAGGUGUAUAGGUCCUCGAAGAGGGUCUCCAUAGAGUCAAUCCAAGACUCCACCACCGAUGGCUCCACUUUCCCCCCUUCAAAAGUUGGUGGCUUAAACUUCAUAAACUUCAUUAGAGCCGUCAACGCACGCUCCCGCUCCACUUCGUCGGCCGUCGUAUCAAGUAUCGCCGAACCUGAAGCUGUCGGAGGCGCAUUUGCCGGCGGGGGAACUGCUGCCAUCGGAACUGCCGCUAUGCCCUCACCCUCGGUCGCUACCAGCGCGCGUGCCGAAGGUGCGGGCGGAUCGUGAUCUCCAGCCGCUGUCGCGGCCACCGCUGCUGCCGCUUGCCGCUCCACAAAUCCCUGGAGCUGCUCGAAUCGAGCCUCCUGGCGCUGCAUCGCGCCCAACAUUGCAGCGACCUGCUCCCGCAGCUCCUGCACUUCCUCCGAUCUUGUCUGCUCGGGCUCCGCAGAAGGCGGUACCGGAGCAGACCUAUGCACGUAACGCCUCGGGGACAUUUGCUCCUGAAAAGCAACGACUCGGUUAGUUAUCUUAAUCCGAUAACUUUUUCAACGCUCACGAAAUUAAACGACUCGACAGUGAAAUCGGGCGGAAGCUCACAAGUGUUCCAGUUCUGGACUCUUAGCGUCGCGUCGUCGGCCGCCGACACAACCACGACGAGCCGAGAAACUAGUAUCACUUGGAUCCGUCUCUAUUCACAGCUAGAGACAUGACAUAAGUUCUGGACUCUUAGCGUCGCGUCGUCGGCCGCCGACACAACCACUACGAGCCGAGAAACUAGUAUCACUUGGAUCCGUCUCUAUUCACAGCUAGAGACAUGACAUAAGUUCUGGACUCUUAGCGUCGCGUCGUCGGCCGCCGACACAACCACUACGAGCCGAGAAACUAGUAUCACUUGGAUCCGUCUCUAUUCACAGCUAGAGACAUGACAUCAACUUUGACCCAAUCGAUCAACUUCCGCCAUCGCCAUGAGUUCACGUUCACUCACGUCCCUAUAACCUUAGGGUUUACCGACCUAGUGUCUCCUAGGUCAUCCUAGACUCUCUCUUUACUUGCUCUGGUGCUCUGAUACCACUUUGUGACGCCCCAGCUUCCCAGGGGGUCACCCAUCCUAGGACUACUCCCGUCCUAGCACGCUUAACUCUCUUAACCUCUUGGGCCUUGCCACCACCCAAAAUGCUUAAGCCGGGUUAAAAGUUUAGCCCUAUUAUAUCUUAUAUAUAGGACUACCCGGGGUCUCACACCUCAAGUGAAAAACCCUCUCUUAAUCUUCAAAUGGGAAGUAGAGGUUUUCCAAUCUAACUUAUAUAAAGGUUCUAAACCAUUCCAAUAAGAUCAAGAAGCCUCAAAUUAAGAAUCCCAAAAUCUAACCCUAAAAUCCAAAAUCUAGGGUUUAAACAAGCAAAAUGCCCCAAAACUAAGAUCUAGAGGAAGGAACCUUGCCACUUACCUCUAGGAUGCUCCAAUCCAAGCUCAAAAUCUUCUAGGGUUGAAGAUUGAUCCACCACAAAGUUCCAAAAGCAAGCUCCAAGCCUCCAAAGGUGAGAAAUGAGGAAGAAGAUGGUGCUCCAAAGCCUCCAAGCAAGCUCCUCUCCUCUCCUUCUCCUUCUUCUCCUUCCCUUUCUCUCUCUAGAAGUGUAAGGAGAGUGUGAGGGAGAGAAAAUGAGAGUGAGAGGGGGUAGAGAGGCUGCCAAAAGCCUCUAAGGUAACAAAAUCCACUUAGGCCUCUCAAAAAUCCACUCUGUGCACUGCCCGGUCUGGGCCGCUCACGCGCUGAGGGACCGGUCUCUCCCUGCCAAGGACCGGUCUCUAGGCUCGUCCAGCAAAACCAGCGUUCGGGAACCGGUCUCUCACAGCCAGGGACCGGUUGCCUCAAGCCCUGUCGCAGCACUGUGCUGAGGGGACCGGUCUGUCAUAUCAGGGACCGGUCCCCGAGAGUGAAAACUCUCAGGACUUGCCAAAACUCUAGAGAUCGAACUUUUAGGCCGGUAUACAUCGACGGCCCUCCACCAAGUGUGGAAAAGUUCGAAAUACAUAUCGAACACUCGAACCUCGCAAUUUGCAAAGGUCCAGUGUGCUACAUUCAUCCCUCCUAAAAAGGAGUUUCGUCCGCGAAACUCGAAUACUAACAUACCUCAAAACUCCGUCUGAAAAAGAUGGGGAUAGUGCUCCCGCAGCGCACUCUCUAGCUCCCACGUGGCCUCCCGCUCCCCAUGGUUGCUCCAAAGAACCUUCACGGACGGAAUAUCCCGGUUUCACAGUUUCCGCACCUCGCGGGCCAAAAUCUUCGCUGGGUCGAAGACAUACUUCCGAAGGACCGAUACAUGAAAGACGUUGUGCACGCCGGAUAGGUUCGGUAGUAGAGAAAGUCGAUAUGCUACCGGACCCACACGUUCCAAGAUCUCAUACGGUCCAAUGAAACAGGGGCUCAACUUACCCCGAAUCCCAAAUCUCUUAAUCCCUCUAGUCGGCGAAACUUUCAAGAAAACAUGGUCUCCAACUUGGAACUCCAAGUCUCGCCGUCGUCGAUCGGCGUAGCUCCUCUGUCUACUCUGCGCCGUCAAAAGUCGCUCCCGAGCAAUUCAAACCUUGUUCUCAGCUUCCUGGAGCACGUCGGGGCCUAAUGCGAAUCUCUCACCGACUUCACUCCAAUGAAGUGGCGAUAUACACUUCCGUCCGUAAAGUGCUUCGAAGGGCGCCAUCUUGAUGCUUGCUUGAUAACUAUUGUUAUAAGCAAACUCUGCCAUCGGUAGAUGCUGCAACCAUCCUCCCUGGAAGUCAAUCACACAUGCUUGGAGCAUAUCCUCUAAAGUCUGAAUAGUGCGCUACGACUGUCCAUCACUCUGCGGGUGGAAUGCUGUACUGAAAUCCAGACGAGUGCCUAAGGCGUCCUGCAGACUCCUCCAAAAGCACGACACAAAUCAGGUGUCUCGAUCCGAUACAAUCGAUGUAGGCACUCCAUGAAGUCGCACAAUCUCAUCGAGGUACACUUGUGCGAGCUUCUCCCCAGUCCAAGUUGUAUGAAUAGGUAUGAAGUGUGCCGACUUCGUCAACCUAUCCACGAUCACCCAAAUAGCAUCUUGCACGGCCUGCGAGCGGGGCAAUCCUGUCACGAAAUCCAUGGUGAUCUUCUCCCACUUCCAAACGGGAACAGGCAAACUAUGAAGUUUUCCCGCGGGAACGCGAUGCUCAGCCUUUACUUGUUGGCAAGUUAGACAACGAGCUACAAACUCGCCAACGUCCUUUUUCAUCCUGGGCCACCAAUAAAGCAACUUUAAAUCCUUAUACAUCUUGGUGCCACCCGGAUAUAUAGCGUAGGGCGCUCGGUGCGCUUCUUGAAGAAUAUCCUCUUUAAUUCCCGAAUCCGUCGGUACACAAAUCCGUCCACAGAAAUGCAUCAAUCCUUGAUCAUCCACAAGGAGUCGCCGGUGCAACCAUUAACCAUUUUACCUUUAAUCCUUUGCAACUCUACAUCGGAAGCUUGCUUUUCUUUAAUUUUAUCCAAUAAUGUAGGUUGCACCACCAACGUCAUCAACCUCAAAGGCGUGUCAGGAGUCACCACCUCCAACUCAAACCGCUUCGUCUGCUCGAUCAACUGCGGUGGAGUAACUAAAUGCAUUGCUAAGUUUUCCGUCGAUUUCCUACUUAGCGCAUCUGCCACCACAUUAGCCUUGCCCGGGUGGUAAAGAAUCGUUAGAUCAUAAUCCUUGAGUAGCUCCAACCAUCUGCGCUGUCUCAAGUUCAACUCCUUCUGAGUAAAGAGGUACUUUAAGCUCUUGUGAUCCGUGUACAUUUCACACCGCUCGCCAUAAAGAUAGUGGCGCCAUAGCUUCAAUGCGAACACUACGGCCGCCAACUCCAAAUCAUGCGUCGGGUAGUUCUUUUAAUAUUCCUUUAGUUGGCGAGAAGCAUACGCGAUCACCUUGCCAUCCUGCAUCAAUACACAGCCCAAUCCAUUAAGUAACGCAUCACUAUAUACCAUAUACCCUGCUCAAGCUACUGGUAGGGUUAAGAUCGGGGCGGUCGUCAAUCUCUGCUUCAACUCUUGGAAGCUUCGCUCGCACGCAUUAUUCCAAAUAAACUUGAGUCCUUUAUGCGUGAGCCUCGUGAAGGGAGUGGACAACUUAGCAAAUCCCUCAACAAAUCUCCGGUAGUAACUGGCCAAUCCAAGGAAGCUCCGUAUCUCCGUGACGCUCGUCGAUCUCGGCCAACCCUUGAUAGCUUCAAUCUUCUUGGGAUCCAACGCAAUAUCUAAUCCUGAAAUCAAGUGUCCAAGGAAAGCUACCUCUCGAAGCCAAAAUUCACAUUUCUUCAUCUUGGCGUAAAGCUCCUUUUCCCGAAGUACUUAGAGUACAAUUCUCAAAUGCCCCUCGUGAUCUGCAUCACUUAGAGAGUAGACCAAAAUGUCGUCGAUGAACACCACAACGAACCUGUCUAGAUAAGACUUGAAAACACGGUUCAUUAAAUCCAUAAAAGCUGCCGUGGCAUUAGUCAGCCCAAACGGCAUAACUGUGAACUCAUAGUGUCCAUACCGUGUUCUGAAAGCGUCUUCGAUACAUCCUCGGGUUUGAUCUUCGGUUGGUGGUAUCCAGACUGCAAGUCAAUCUUGGAAUACACACACGAUCCCUGAAGCUGAUCAAACAAGUCGUCAAUUCUCGGCAACGGAUACUUGUUCUUGAUCGUGACUUUGUUGAGUUCACGAUAGUCCACACAUAGGCGAAGUGAUCCGUCCUUUUUCUUGACGGAUAUAACUGGCGCUCCCCACGGCGAGACGCUUGGUCGAAUGAAGCCCUUGUCCAACAGAUCCUGUAGCUGUGCCCUCAGCUCCUUCAGUUCCGCCGGUGCCAUCCUAUAGGGUGCCUUCGAGAUUGGGGUAGUCCCAGGGACAAGAUCCACCACAAAAUCAAUCUCCCUAUCAGGAGGCAUGCCCGGAAGCUCAGCUGGAAACACAUCCUGGAACUCCCGCACCACCGGAAUAUCCUCGAUCCUAGGGGUGUCAUCCUCGCCCCUCAUCACAACACUAGCCAAGUAGGCUACACAUUCUCGGCUGAUCAGCUGCCUAGCUCGAGACGAGCUGAUCGACAUCGCGAAAAGCGAACUCCAGCAUCCUUUAAACACAACCUCAGUCUGCCCCGGUUCUCUAAAGGUAACCGUGCGAUUCUUGCAAUCUAUCGUGGCAUAAUAUUUGCUCAACCAAUCCAUGCCCAAGACCACAUCAAAAUCCCCCAGCUUGCGCAAAGCUAGCAAAUCUACAGACAUGAUCCAAUCUCCUACCCGAAUAGGGCAACUGGGGCAAUACUCUCUAAUAUCCAGAACGUGGUCGGGUACAACAACAUGUCCCGUGUGCAACAAAGGAACCAAUGGAAUGCCAUGCAACUCGGCAAACAGCCGAUCUAUAAAUGAAUGCGAUGUACCGGUAUCAAAUAAAGUACGAACUCUAAUGCCAUCAAGUAAAAUGAUACCUGCAACCACAUCCUCGGCUGCUGCCGCCUCCUCGGUCUGAGCGGCAUACAAGCGUCCACUCGGGGCCUGCCGAAACCCCUCGCUCUGCCGCUGGACGGUUGGCCGCCCAGGCUGGUACUGUGUCGACGGAGUCCCCUGACUGGCGGCUGGUAGAGCCGGUGCCGAUGCAGUCGACGGUGCGGGUGAAGAACCUCUCGGGCACUCAGUCCGCACGUGGCCCUCCUGACCACAUUGGAAGCACCUGCCCGCCCGCUGUGGACACUACGGUGGGUGAUGAGGACCACCACAGAUCACACACGGGGAGGGCCGGCGUCGAUCAUAGCCUCCUCGCUGAGCUGUUGAGCCGCGUCCACGUUGCUGGCUCUUCGGAUGCUUCGGCGACCUCCUAGAGUGCGUCUGGCUCGCACCCUCAGCCGCAGGCCUCUUGGCCUUGCCCUUGUCCAUGGCCUCACGCCGCUCCUGUACCUCUGCCGCGCCGCUCUCCACAAUGGCGCGCGAUCCACCACCUCCCGGUAGGUUUGCAGGUUAGAGGAUUGCACAAACCGGAAGAUCGACGGUCGCAACCCUCGCUCGAAGAUGCGGGCCUUGUCCUCGUCGUCCCGCACGAUGAAAGGCACGCAGUGUAGAAGCCGAGAAAACUCCCUCUCGUACUCGGCUACGGUGCGGUCUCCCUGGCGCAAGCUGUGCAGAUCCUGCUCCAUCUUCCUCUUGACGCUGGUCGGGAAGUAAUGCGCCAAAAUAAGCUCCUUCAACUUCUUCUAUGUGAUAGCUGCUAAAUCAGUGCUUGGGUUCUCCUGGAGAUCCAACCACCAGCGAGUGGUGAGUAGCGAGCCAAACUCGAUCCCUCUCCUCCACGAAGGUGUCGCGGAAGAGCUUCUCCAUAUGUAUCAACCACUUCUCCACGAUCCAGUGGUCGACCUUUUUGCCGUCGAAAACUCGGGGACUACACCUCCUGAACUCAUUGAGGCGCUCCAUCAGUCUGUCUCGCUCUGCCCCCUCGACCAAGGUAGGGAAUGCAGCUCCCACCGGGGGCCUUUAAACAGGUGGUGCCACCAAAACCUCCUCCUUGGGUGCGGCCACAGGUGCCGCACACGAAGAACUGGGCGCGGGGGAUGGCGCUCUCGGUGCAACGUCCACAACGGGUGCUGGCGGUGUAGGGCCCUGCGUCUCCCUAGAAGCUGCUGCCUGUUGCAGGAGUAGAUCCUCCAGGAGCUUCAUCCGCGCCUCCUGUCGGUGCGCCGCCUCAGUCUGCUGUCGGGAUGCCUCCGCCUGCUGAGUGACUAAAUCGGUGAGGGCCGCAAGCUGGCCCCUCAACUCACGGAUCUCGCCAGAUCUGGAUGUAGCGGAGGUCUUGACCUCCUCAAAGUUCGCCACAUUGUCCGCCUCGGCAUAUUGGGAGCGAGUAAUCGGCAUCAUCACUACAAAACAUCAUAAAAGCACAAGUUAGCAAAAACCGAUGCUAUCGCAUCCCCGCUCAAAGAUAAUACCCAAAUCAGGCAAAAAUAAGGAAGUGUGCUUCACUACUAACUCCCGACGUUACGUUGUCGGCCGCCAACGUAACCCUCUGUGAAGUUAGAAGCUAUACACUUCAAUUCAACUCUAACUUUUUAGAGUUAUCAAGAUACCCAAUCAAGGUACUUUCGCUCACAAAUCAAAUAGACCUCGUCUCUCACGAGCCUAUUUCCUAUAGUCCAACCGGCCUAAGGUUUGCUAGGUCCCCUGAGACUCAACCCUAGGCUCUGAUACCAAAUUAAUCUGUCACGCCCCGGGACCCAGCGGAAGCCCGCCCGGCACGUGCCCAGACCCGCCAUACGUCUAAAACAUAUAAGGCGUCUAAAACAACGAUAAUUAAAGCAAGAAUAAAAGAUAUCUAGGAGUAUCAGAGCAUGAUAUAAGACUAAGUUCUACAAUAGAGAAAGGAACAUAAAGCAGGAAUUCACUAAUAAAAGCAUAAGGUAAUACAAAGGAGAUCCCAAAUACAAGUGCUCAAAGUAGUGUAACGCACUGGACCUUUGCAAAUUGCGAGGUUCGAGUGUUUGGAUGUAUUUCGAGCUUGCCCACACUUGGUGGAGGGUUGUAAAAUGUUUUCCGACCUGAAAAGUUCGAAAACUGGAAUUCUGGACAAGUCCUGAGAGUUUUUGCUCUCGGGGACCGGUCCCUGGAAGGAGAGACCGGUCCCCCAGUGAGCAGUGUUGAGGCAGCCUGAGGCAACCGGUCCCUGGCAGGCGAGACCGGUCCCCGAGCGCGUCUUCGCAGUGAGAGACCGGUCCCGCGCAGGGAGAGACCGGUUCCCGAACGCUGGUUUUUCGGGUUCGCAGCGAGAGACCGGUCCCUGCUGGGGAGAGACCGGUCCCUCUGGGCGAAAACUGCCCAGUUCGGGCUGAUGUAAAUUUGAGUUUUUGAGGGGCCUCUCCGGAUUUUGUUACACUAGAUGGGCUUAUUAGCCAUUUCCUCCUCUUCCCUCUCUCAUUCUCUCAUUCUCACCCUCUCCCUACACUUUCUAGAGAGAGAAGAAGAAGAAGAAGGAGGAGAAGAAGAAGAGGAGCUAGCUUGAGGGAGCUUGGAGCUCAACCCCUUUCUCUCUUUUCCACCUUUGCAAGGCUUGGAGCUUGCUUGUAGAGCUUGGUGGUGGACCAAUCUUCAACCCUAGAAGAUUUGGAGCUUGUUUGGAGGCAUCUUGGGAGGUUAGUACUUGGAUUCUACCCUUUGAUCCUUGAUUUGGUAGAUUUUACCAUAUGAAACCCUAGUUUUGGGUAUUAGGGUUGAUUUUUGGGGCUUUUUGAUCUAGGGCUUUUGGGGCUAAAUUGAUUGGUUUAGAACCUUCCUUGGGCUUGGAUUGGAAGGGUUCUAGCUCUCUUUUGGAGCUUUAGAAGAGAUUUCUUCUCUUGAGGUGAAUUUUGGCCCUAUUUGCUUCUAGAUUGAUGUUUGAUCUCAUGGUUGGUCGUAAUACUCUCGUAUCUCUUCGCUGAUCACUUUUAGGGUAUCUUGAGGCUCGUGGACAACUCCGUUCGACGAAUCGAAGGAGCACGCGACGGUUCGGUGGGUUUGGCCUAGCAUACAAUAUGAGAAAUGCUCAUAUUUGGUGUUAAAUGUUUCGUAAAGUUGAAAUUCUUGCAUUUUCAUGUUAAAUGUAUUUAUUAUGAAUUUUAGAAUGCUUAACAUGCAUAGGUUAUGUGUAGUAAAUUUUGGGACCUCUAUAUAGUAGAGAGCAUGCAUGUGUGGCCUAGCAUUCUAGUUGAGACUUGAAAUUAUAAUCCCUAUUAUGAAAACGAACCUUGCUUUCAUGCAUUCAAACUAUAUACCAGAUGUGACAUUAGGGAUUUUUGGAAGCCUAGAGAGGCUUAGGGACUUAGAUGAUAUGUGAGAUUGGGCCAAUGUCAUGAAGAGGCAUUGGGGCCCGGGGCAUAGUGAGCAUUAAUGUUAAUGUCUUAAUUGGAACAUGAUUAGUUGUGGAGCUUAAGUGUCAUAAAGAGGCACUAAGCAAGUGUGUGUUGGGACUUCACAUUAUGACUUUGAACUAGAUCUUCGGGAUGCUAGUGACUAUACCAUGUUAGAGACAUGAGGAUUGGGUACUUGAGACAGUGACCUUGCUUGUUUGCCAUUUGUGCUCAUUCGCACAUGCUUGUGAGGGUCGCUCCCCACAAGCCGGCACUCCGGAGUUGGCCUAUGCGACUUUUGUUCGCUCGUGCGGUAUUGAGACGCCUACGGGGUCGAGUGGGACAGACACAUUCCAUGUGUAGGAAUGUCGGGCUACCACAGGCACUUAGGCGGCACAAGCCGGACUACCUUGGGUAGAUCCUUAAUUGGAAAUGUAAAUCGACACGGUUUGAGAAUGAAUGAUCACUACUAGAUAGGCUUAGUAGUUGGAUUACAUUUACAUGCUUUUAGCAUAGUGUGAGACAUGUAGUAUACUUGGUUGCCAUGAUAGGACUCCUAUAUCAUGUAUUGACAAAGGUUAACAACAUUAAACUAGUGCCAUUGGACUUAAUUGCAAUGAUAGAAUAGAUAUACAUUUUGGUUGACAUCAUGCUUACUUGAGACACAGUAGACUAGCAUUUCAAAUAUGCUUUCUUUCAGCAGUGUAUUUACAUGCUCCUUAUUGCUUAUUAUUAUUAUUAUCGUUGCUUACCCUUAUUUUUAGGGCCUAGUGGAGCAUGAGCUGAGGUCAGUAAUUGCCCACUGGGAACUAUAAAUUAUAGUUCUCACGCCCUCUUUUUCUCGAUGUUUUUCAGAGCCUUCCACUCAGGGUGAGGCCAGGGAUCGCGGGAAGGGAGUUGCUUCGAGCUAGCUUCCUUCGAGAACGAGUUGCUAGGUGGUCUACCUCUCGAUUUUUAUUUCUUUUUGCGAGAGGUUGAGAGUUUUACCAGUGUACUAGAGACCACCACUUUUGUAUUUUGGAGAUAGAUUUUGUACUACUUGUUUUCUUUCAUGUAUUAGUUAUGUUCUAUUACUAUUGGUGUAGAUGUUAUAACUUUACUCGCUCUGAUAUCAUUAGUUGCUAGUUAUUUCACUUCUUUUAUUUGUUCCAUCUCUUGCUUUUACUUCCGCUUUUCUUGUAGACGCCUUAUAUGUGUAGACAUAUGGCGGGUCUGGGCACGCUACUGGGAGGGCCUCCGCCGGUCCCGGGGCGUGACAAGUAGAUACAUAGGUGGUCUCUAUACGUGGAUACAAAAUCUCUCGCUUUCUCUCAACUACAAAAAGAAAGAGUAAACCACAUAGGCAAAGAACCGCUCCUCGCUAGCUAGCUAUGCGAUCCCCUUGCCGCGAUCCCGUGCCUCCGCCGGUGCAGAAGGCUCUGAAAGAAACCACGAAAAAGAGGGCGUGAGAACUCUUAAAAAUAGUUCCCAGUGGGCAAUUACUGACUUCAGUUAAUGCACCACAAGGCCAAAGCUACAAGGGAAGUGGUCAGCGACAAUAAAAACAGUAAAGCGAAAUGUAAGUAAAAGUGUAACUUACUAUAACAUGAAGUCUCUACUUAGCAUGAUUUGCAUAAGUAAUAAAGCAACUAUAUCAUGGAUGUACAUGGAUAGGUAUGACAUGCAUAAUCAUAGAAAUGCAACCAACUCGAUGUCCUCAAUGCAAAAAUAGUAAAGAUGUCAUUGUUUACUAUUCUAAUCCAAGUCCACGUUUCACUUUAAUAGUUUUAAAGUUCAUAUGGCAUACACUGUCACUAUGUUCCAAUCAUAUAAGACCCAUCCGAAGGUUGUUUGGCCUGCGCCGUGCCUAAUGGCCCCGUGGUAGUCAACAUCCCCACUCUAGGAAUGAGCCUCCCCCACGGCAAUCCACUUCGGCGCCCAAUCCCGCACGGGCGAGCAUAUGUCGCGAUGGCUAUCUCCGGAGUGCCGGCUUGUAGGGAGCGACCCUCACAAGCAUAUGCGAAUGAGCACAAAUGGCAAGCAAGCAAUGAUCCGUCUCAAGUCUCAUGUCUAAAACAUGGAAUAUAUCGAAUGUCCCCAUGGUCUAUCUCUAUGUCGUCAUGUCUCUAAUAUGGAAUAUAGCAGAUAUGUGUUGGCCUAUCAAUGUGUCACUAUGUUGUAAUUUCAUAGUUUACUAGUUUCAAGUGCCCCUUAAGGACACUUUGUUCUCUAUGUCAAGCAUGGUAACUAUGUUCCAAGGUUCAUGUUCCAAGUCGUAUUCUUCCUAAGAGAUAUGUUCUCAACUUGCACAAACAAACACUUUAUCAUAUGCAUGCUGCCUACACAUUUAGCUCUACUAUAUAGAGUACAAUUUUUAUGAUACAUAGCACAUGCAUUUUAAGUGUUCUAGAAUUCAUAUAAAUUCUACUUAGUAUAGAAAUGCAUUCAAAAGUACUUUACAACAAGUAUUAAGAGCAUAGGGGCCAUUUUGCCCAAUUUCCACGAAGCCAAACCCACCAAAAUCGUCUUCUUCGUUUCGCCGAACGAAGGUAUCCACAAGCUUCCUAAUACCCUAGAAACAUCAAAAGUAGGGUCACUCGAACGAAACGAAGAGCCAUUGGCUCAAUCAUUAAGCUUCUCAAGCUAGGGUUGGGAAAAACUCAUCUCAAGUGAAAAACCCUCUUAAUCUUCAAAUGGGAGGUAGAGGUUUUCCAAUCUAACCUAUAUAAAGGUUCCAAACCAUUCCAAUGAGAUCAAGAAGCCUCAAAUCAAGAAUCCCCAAAUCUAACCCUAAAAUCCAAAAUCUAGGGUUUAAACAAGCAAAAAGCCCCAAAACUAAGAUCUAGAGGAAGGAACCUUGCCACUUACCUCUAGGAUGCUCCAAUCCAAGCUCAAAAUCUUCUAGGGUUGAAGAUUGAUCCACCACAAAGCUCCAAAAGCAAGCUCCAAGCCUCCAAAGGUGGGAAAUGAGGAAGAAGAUGGUGCUCCAAGGCCUCCAAGCAAGCUCCUCUCCUCUCCUUCUCCUUCUCCUUCUUCUCCUUCCCUUUCUCUCUCUAGAAGUGUAAGGAGAGUGUGAGGGAGAAAAAAUGAGAGUGAGAGGGGGUAGAGAGGCUGCCAAAAGCCUCUAAGGUAACAAAAUCCACUUAGGCCUCUUAAAAAUCCACUCUGUGCACUGCCUGGUCUGGGCCGCUCACGCGCUGAGGGACCGGUCUCUCCCUGCCAAGGACCGGUCUCUCGGCCCGUCCCGCAAAACCAGCGUUCGGGAACCGGUCUCUCACAGCCAGGGACCGGUUGUCUCAAGCCCUGUCGCAGCACUGUGCUGAGGGGACCAGUCUCUCAUAUCAGGGACCGGUCCCCGAGAGUGAAAACUCUCAGGACUUGCCAAAACUCUAGAGAUCGAACUUUUAGGCCGGUAUACAUCGACGGCCCUCCACUAAGUGUGGAAAAGUUCGGAAUACAUAUCGAACACUCGAACCUCGCAAUUUGCAAAGGUCCAGUGUGCUACAGGUAGAUAUUCGUUGUUCAUCGUAUGAGCAUAGCUUAGGAAGGAUCAAUGAAAGAACGUUCGUGAAGUCAUCAGUGCAGCUUCGAACUCUGUCCCAGCGUGCUUCUUCCCCUUCUGCUGCUCCACCUCCUGCUGCUGCUACUUCUUCACGUCCUUCUAUGGACAUUUUCGAGGAAGAUGUCUCAGUUUCCUCUGUGUAUCGUGAGCAACAACGUUUGUCUGAAGAGCUUCAGAAACUAUCUGCGGAACAAGCUGCAAUACGGAAUGAUGUAAGCAAAAUGAAGCGGUUAAUGCAGGCGAUUUUUGACAAGUUAGGAUAUUACCGAGCAGAUUUACCUCCAGGGGAUGAUUCAGAUUAGAUGUUACGGGGUUCCUCCUUUGGUCAUUUUGGCGCUUUCUGACAAAAAGGGGUAGAUGACAUGUGAAUGAUAUGAUGGCUCAUGAUGAUGAUGAUGGCUGAUGAGAUGAUGAUGUCUAAUGAGAUCUGAUGAGGAUACUGUUUUUUUUUUUUUGAUUAGUUGUGUAAAUUUAGGCUAGAUGUUUGUUUAGGUGCUUAACUAUGAACUAUGACUUGUUGUUUUGAUUGCUUUGACGUUUGAUCUUUUAUGAUAAUUGCUUGAAUCUUGAUUGUGUUUUUUUUAAGAAUGUUUUUGCAGGAAUAUUCAAGACUUCAAGAUUCCGGGUCUAAGUCAUAGAGUCUGUAUUAAGGUUGAAAAAUGUAAUUUUUCUUUUAUUGGAUCGAUCGUGCAGGAGAUUGUCGUUUGGUGAUUGCGAUGAUCUUCUUUUUAUUGUUUCUGAGUUGUGUAUGAACUUUGUAGUAUAUUUUGUCACGAAAUCACCAAAGGGGGAGAUUGUUAAGGAUGUUAUAGGUUGGCGGAUUUCGUAAUGUUGAAUGGAGUCUUGAAGAGUUGAUCGCGGAAGUUUGAAGAAAAGAUCCAAAUUGAAGAACAAAGACUCAUUCGGAAAGCUCGGCAUCUAAGGUAUGAAGAAUGGAUGAUUUAUGGUGAAGUUAUUUAAUUAUAAUAAGUUCAGAAGGCUUAGAUUGCUUUAAAAAUUAUUUUACUGAACUUGUAUGUGUUCUGGGACCGGUCCCUGUGUUGAAGAGACCGGUUCCCCUAAGGUUCUCACUGCGUGAACAUUGAUGCAACCGGUCGCCUGAGAUGAGAGACCGGUUCCCGAACAUUGGAAAUUCUGUCGCGCAGCAAGGGAUCGGUCUCUGGCUUGAGAGACCGGUUCUCGAACGUUGUGUUUUUGAUCACGCAGCAAGGGACUGGUUCCUCACUUGAGAGACCGGUCUCUCACAGACCGGUCUCCUCGAGAGGACCGGUCCCUGAGGACGACACAUGUUUUUAAAAAGGACUUUUUGCAAUCCUAGUCUACUUUUAAGUCUUCUAAACAUAUAAAUAAGCCAUGGGGGUCAUCUUAAAGUUUAAGGCUUUGAAUUCUUACUAAUUCUAAACCCUAGAAACUUGUUUUUCCGUUCUGAUGAUUCUACUCACAUAACAAGUUUCGAAAAAUCAACAAUCGACUUGGUUCUUUGAUUUUACUUGAGAUCUUAUUCGAGAAUCAAGUUGAUGUUUGAUUAGAAGACGGACCCUCAUAGCUUAUGGGAUUCUAAAGCUUAAUCACCACAAAUCUUCGAUUCUACAAGCUUCGGAAGGAGAUUCGGCGUGUGGAUCUCGCGUGUAGCCGAGGAUUCGGUGGACGCUUUGAGGAGUUGAGGCAUUGACGCUGCGUAGAGUUUCGGCGAGGUCGAUUGGAGGAUUCCUAUCGAUCGAGGACCGGCGAAGAUCAUCAUCAACAAGAAAUCGGUAAAUUGAGUCGUGUGUUUUUGUCAAAAUCACUUGUACUCAAGCUUUCUUAGUGGAUUUUCUUUGCGUGAUCGGUCCCGUGGGUUUUUCACUCCGGCUUGGAGUUUUUCCACGUUAAAUUCUCGGUGUGCUGUUUUAUUUUUCGCUAUUUCAUUUUAUUUGCAUCGAGAUUUUUGAGUUUGCCGUUUUUACACCUAUUCACCCCCCUCUAGGUGUUACUUAUCUUUUAGAUCCUCGGGAUCCAUAUCUUAUACCGGUCACUCGGGGAGAGACCGGUUCCCGAACGCGUGCGCCCGAGGGGGGCUCUCGGGGACCGGUCCCAAGUUGUGGAGACCGGUCCCUCCGCGCGAAUUCUGCCCAGUAAGGGCUGUGCAAGGAUGGAAAAGUGGAGGGGUUUAAGUGCAAAAUGGCCAUCAUAUGAGGGGUGUAUAUAGGAAAUUACCCUCUCUUUCUCUCAUUCUCAUCCCCUCACUCCCUCUCAUCACUCUCCCUCUCUCUCGCUAGAAAGAGAAGAAGCACAAGAAGAACAAGAAGGAGAUGAAGGAAAAGGAGAAGAAGAAAAGGAAGAAGAAGAAAAGGAAGAAGAAGAAGAAGGAGAAGGAGAUCAAGGAGAAGGCUUUAAACAACUCCCUCUCCCUCUCCUCUUUCCAUUGGUGUAGCUCAAGAGGUAAGCUACAAACCCUAGCUUGUAGAACUUAGGGUUUUGGGUUUUGAGCUUUGGAAAUGGGGUCAAAUGGACCCCUAGCACCAUUGUUGGUGGAUCAAAGCUAAAGUUAGGGUUCCAAAUAACAAAUGGCAAGAUGGGAACCCUAGGGCACCCAAAAUGGGGUUUUUGGUGAAGUAUGAGAUUGAUCUUAUUUGAGACCUCGUAAACCUAAUUGGUAGGUCACAAAACGCUGGGGCGUAGUCGAUUUCGCGAUUCGACUAGUGAAUUGGGAGCUAUCAGCGAAAUACGGCCGAUUUAGCCUUGUCUUGGACCGAGAAGGACGAGAUCUUGUCGUAAGGUGCGCCGAGGAGCGUUUCUAAAGCCUCUACAUCGAUAAAAGGUGGGGGGUGCUAUCCCGAAGCUUUCAAACUCCUUUCUAUGUCUUAGAUUGCAUUUAAUCUCAUUUCUUACAUGUUGCAUUGUAGGAUUGCAUAGUAGCUCCAUUCCUUAUACUUUCUAAUUGAUAACCUAGUGCAUUUGGAAUGCUUGAUAACUUAGAUAGGUGAGGAUUGGGUCGGAAUGUGGAUCCUAUGAUGCGAAAGAAAAUAGAUGAACCCGAUGGAGGUUGGUGACAUAGAAAGUAGUGUUUAAUGUCAAAGAACAAACGAGUGGCAUCCAAAUGUUAAAGAAUAACGAGUGGCAUUAAUGUAGUGUAAAUGACACUAGAGGUUUGAGAACCUAUGGAUAGAUGGAUCCUUUAGAAAAUGCCUUGUGGAUAAAGAACUUAGUAAACCUAAGUACCCUCACAUGGAGAGGUUGUCGAUGAGUUAUUGAGACAUUGACUCUAGUUGUAGAGCAUCCUCACUUGGAGAGGAUUUGAUUGGGUUAUUGACUCUAGUUGUAGAGCAUCCUCACUUGGAGAGGAUUCGAUUGGGUUGUUGACCCAAGUUGUAGGGUAUCCUCACUUGGAGAGGACAGAUCUAGCUCACAGUCUGCUUUUGGGGUGGUAUAGCCAUCCAUAUACCCACAUGGAGGGGAUUGUCGUCGAGUACUCCGGAGUGUUGUGCGACUAGGACCACUUGGAGGUCCGGACCACAUGGAGGUCCGCAGACGGUCCCGGGCUUGGGUGCACUUGGAGCUCCCUCCCCACUUUGGAAUUGAAAGGUGAGUUAUUGGCGAACCCUAGGGCUUCGCUACAGAUUGGGUAAAAGAACAGUGAACAAUGUCAUUGAACAUUAUCAUUCGAACAUAGAUCGAAUUUGUUAGAAUGAUAGUAAACCUUUACUAUAUGAUGCAUGCAUUCAUUACACAUGAUUAUGGGCAUAGUAGCAUAGUUUUCCUACUAUCACAUUUAUGGCAUUUAGAUAUCUAUCUAUCUAUCUAUCUAUUGUUGCUUGUGCCCACUUGGACCUAGUGGGGAGAUCGGCAGAGUCGGCGGCCGAGCCCACUGGGAACUAUGGAAGAUAGUUCUCACCCCACUCUAUUUCCAGUGGUAGGUACAGGGUUGCCGAGAGAGGACCGCGGCAAGGGCAUUGCGGCCGACCAGUGAGACCAUGGUAGUAUAAUAGCUUCCCUUUUUGCAUUAGUACACCUAUGUAUUGAGAGAGAUUCAUUGUAGGUGAGGAUUUGGAGAGCUAUGUAUUUUGGAUGAAAGAUGUAAUCAUUUAAAGAAAAUGAUGUAAAUGAAAAGGAUGAACUAUUGUUAUAGUUAGCAAGGUACUCUCUUUACUUCAUAUGUUAUUCCUGUGGAUUACUUGCUCUCGUAGUUGUUGGCACAAUUUGUGCCCCGUUGAAUGUGUAUGUUUAGAAUUUAAAUUCUUGGGAAAUUCUUGUACACAUUCUUGUUGUGAGCCUUGGGCGGACAGGGGAGGUGCUGUCUGUUCGGCGGACCGCUCGCCGCGCCCGAAUCGUGCCAAAUUGGUAGUGAUCUCGGGGCGGGGCGUGACAUGAGUAGUCUAAUGUUGUUCCGGUUUUUGUUCUUGUGAACAUUGACAUCGAUUCGUUCCAAAUUUACACUCUCGGGGCAUAAUAGAACAAUAUAAUUAGGUUUUACGCUUUAUUAGAUAGAAUGAGAAAAAGUACCCGUUGCAAAGUUAUACUGUUAGGGUGCAACUGAGUAGUCUAAUGUUAUUCUGAUUUUUAUUCUUGUGAACGUUGACAUCGAUUCGUUCCAAAUUUACAAUCUCGGGGCAUAAUAGAACAAUAUAAUUAGGUUUUACUCUUUGUUCGAUAGAAUGCGAAAAAGUACUCGUUGUAAAGAUAUACUGUUAGGGCGCAACUGAGUAUUCUAAUGUUGAUCUGGUUUUGGUUCUUAUGAAUGUAGACAUCAAUUCAUUCCAAAUUUGCACUCUCGGGGCAUAAUAGAACAAUAUAAUUAGGUUUUACACUUUGUUCGAUAGAAUGAGAAAAAGUACUCGUUGUAAAGUUAUACUGUUAGGGCGCAACGAAGUAUUCUAAUGUUGUUCCGGUUUUGGUUCUUGUGAACGUUGACAUCGAUUCACUCAAAAUUUACACUCUCGGGGCAUAAUAGAACAAUAUAAUUAGGUUUUACUUUUUGUUCGAUCGAAUGAGAAAAAGCACUCGUUGUAAAGUUAUACNGUUUUUGUUCUUGUGAGCGUUGACAUCGAUUCGUUCCAAAUUUACACUCUCUAGGCAUAAUAGAACAAUAUAAUUAGGUUUUACGCUUUCUUCAAAAAAAUGAGAAAAAUUACUCGUUGCAAAGUUAUACAGUUAGGGCGCAACUGAGUAGUCUAAUGUUAUUCCGGUUUUUGUUCUUAUGAGCGUUGACAUCGAUUCGUUCCAAAUUUACAAUCUCUGGGCAUAAUAGAACAAUAUAAUUAGAUUUUACGCUUUCUUCGAUAAAAUGAGAAAAAGCACUCGUUGCAAAGUUAUUCUGUUAUGGCGCAACUGAGUUGUUUAAUGUUGUUCCGGUUUUUGUUCUUGUGAGCGUUGAUAUCGAUUCGUUCCAAAUUUACACUCUCUGGGCAUCAUAGAACAAUAUAAUUAGGUUUUACGAUUUUUUUUAUAAAAUGAGAAAAAUUACUCGUUGCAAAGUUAUACUGUUAUGGCGCAACUGAAGUGCCUAAUGUUGUUCCAGUUUUUGUUCUUGUGAGCGUUGACAUCGAUUCGUUCCAAAUUUACACUCUCUAGGCAUAAUAGAACAAUAUAAUUAGGCUUUACGCUUUCUUCGAUAAAAUGAGAAAAAGUACUCGUUGCAAAGUUAUACUGUUAGGGCGCAACAGAUUUGUCUAAUGUUGUUCCGGUUUUUGUUCUUAUGAGCGUUGACAUCGAUUCGUUCCAAAUUUACACUCUCUGGGCAUAAUAGAACAAUGUAAUUGGAUUUCACGCUUUUUUCGAUAAAAUGAGAAAAAGCACUUGUUGCAAAGUUAUUCUGUUAUGGCGCAACUGAGUUGUUUAAUGUUGUUCGGAUUUUUGUUCUUGUGAGCGUUGACAUCGAUUCGUUCUAAAUUUACACUCUCGGGGCAUAAUAGAACAAUAUAAUUAGGUUUUACGCUUUCUUCGAUAAAAUAAGAAAAAGCACUCGUUGCAAAGUUAUACUGUUUGGGCGCAACUGAGUAGUCUAAUGUUAUUCCGAUUUUUGUUCUUAUGAACGGUGACAUCGAUUCGUUCCAAAUUUAUAAUCAAGGGGUAAAAUAGAACAAUAUAAUUAGGUUUUACUCUUUGUUCGAUAGAAUGCGAAAAUAUACUCGUUGUAAAGUUAUACUGUUAGAGCACAACUGAGUAUUCUAAUGUUGUUCCGGUUUUGGUUCAUAUGAAUGUUGACCUCAAUUCAUUCCAAAUUUGCACUCUCGAGGCAUAAUAGAACAAUAUAAUUAGGUUUUACUCUUUGUUCGAUAGAAUGAGAAAAAGUAAUCGUUGUAAAGUUAUACUGUUAGGGCGCAACGAAGUAUUCUAUUGUUGUUCCGGUUUAGGUUCUUAUGAACGUUGACAUCAAUUCCUUCCAAAUUUACACUCUCUGGGCAUAAUAGAACAAUAUAAUUAGNNNNNNNNNNNNNNNNNNNNNNNNNUGAGCGUUGACAUCGAUUCGUUCCAAAUUUACACUCUCUGGGCAUAAUAGAACAAUAUAAUUUGGUUUUACGCUUUCUUCGAUAAAAUGAGAAAAAGUAUUCGUUGCAAAGUUCUACUGUUAGGGCGCAACUGAGUAGUCUAAUGUUGUUCCGGUUUUGGUUCUUUUGAACGUUGACAUCCAUUCGUUCCAAAUUUUAAUUUAUCUCAAACAGAUUUAAAUAUUAAUUCUUAUCCAAAUAGGAUUUAACUACAAAUCUAACCAAAUCCUAACAACAUGAACAAAGUACCAAGAGUGUUAGUUUUAUGUUAGAAUUAUAUCUAAAUACCAGCAAAAUUUGAGCUGUUGAUUAAGUAUUUUUAUAUAUAUUAAGCACUACCAUGUCCUCGUAAUGAUAUGUUCUAUUUCACUUAUGUGAUAGAUAUUGAAAUGUGCCUAAGCAAAGUUAGUGGAACUGUAUCGCAUUGAAAGGUUAGUAGAGCCUUUUUGUGGGUCACACACAAGUUGAAUUGCAAAAAAGUAAUGCUAUGCCCCCUCCUAAAAGUAGAUGUGAGUAGAUAUUUAGUUAAACUGGUUCGUUUGGGCUCUGUGGGACACACAUUAUAUGAUUUAAAUUCAUUGAUUUUGAUUCUGUAUGUUCUGAUAUCAAAAUUUAUGUCAUAAAAUGAUGAGCGUGGGAAUUGAACUUAAGAGGUACCUCUUAGAACAGAGAAGGCUUAGGAUAUACCAUAUUAUCCAAAAGUUCGAUUAGACUAUUCUGACAUCUGAAUAACCUGAGAGCAGACAUAGCUAAAGAAUCAAAUGGCAGCUAGGAGAAGAUGGGUGAUUUAGUUGGCAAAUAAAAUUCAAGUAAAUUUAACCUGAGAUAAAAACUGCACAACAUAAAUAAAAGAAAGAAAAGAAGAAAGCAAACAUAUAUGAAGCAGAUGAUUUAUCGCAGUUCGAUCUUUUCACCUACUCUAGUCCGGUCCUCUAUCUUCUCAAGACUCUCAUAUAAAUAUGAUUAGUUAAUUCAGAUUUGGCAAAAAUUCAGCACGGAUAUAAUUCGAAUAAAAUUCGUAUCUCAAUUUUUAAAUUUAUUGAAAAAUAUGACUUAAAAAAUGGAUUUGCCAAUUUUUCGGAUAUGCGAUUUAUAUGAAAAUUAUACGUUCACCAAUUAAAUAAAAAAUUCAGCUAUUAAACUAAGUUUUCUUCUCUAGAUUUAUGCUACUAGCAUACAUAAAUUCUUAAGAAUAUAAAAAUAGAGAGCUCCAAAGUAAAAUAGAUUAAUAAAAAAGUAAUAACAAAUUUUAUUAUCGUCUCCAUCUUCAUUUUUUUCAGAAUCCACAUACUCCGAAAGUUUAUGAAGUUUUUCAAUAAUACACGAAUAAUUCGGCAAUUAUUUGGAAAAAAAUUUUAUUCAAAAAUUUUACGUGUUUGUUUGGCUGAAUAGAUCGGCAUACGAGAGUUAUUUUAAAAAUAACUGUAUUUUAUCCAAGGCAAGUCCCCCGGGACCACGGCAAGACUUGCCUUGGGUCUAGGGUUCCGAGCCGUGCUGUGCCGGGCCAACGGCCUCUCCUCGUGCCUGGCCGUCGGGCCCCAGAAAUGCAGCCCAGCACGGCCUGAAGAGCCUGGCCGGCCCGGCCCGGCCCGGCACGAAUGCUACAAUAUCUGUGCCGGGCCGGGCGGCCGGCUGCCCGGCCCGUUUUACACUCCUAACUAGCACUCUGCGAUAGGCUGGGUCUACCACUUGUUCCAAAACCAACUCUAUAUCCUAAUCUAUUUUAAAUAAAGUUCGGAUAAUUACAAAUUAUGAAUUCUCUUAAAUUUUGCUUCACACAAUUUUUGGUUGCAUCAUAAAACAAUUUGGAUGUAAAAAUUCGAGACAUAUUUAAUAGAACUUUUUGUAUAUAUAUAUAUAUAUAUAUAGAGUGAGGCUACUAUGCUAUCGGAAGCACGGAGCCUUCCGUGCUUCCAGCUCGUUUUCGAUGUUGUGAUUUUUGAAUCGUCGAUCGGCUCCGUUAAACUUGAUCUAGAGUAUUUGNNNNNNNNNNNNNNNNNNNNNNNNNUAGUAAUUUGAAGUACCUAGAAAAUAAAUUUAUGAUUUACGAUAUCAUUUGGCCUAGUGAACGAAGGGGCUCAAAAUGCACGGCUGAAAAAUAAAAUCUUACAAAUGUAAUAAUAUGACAUUAAAUUUUAAAUCAAGAUAUUGAACUUGUUUUAUAUAGUAUAAUAAGAAUUUUCUAUCAAAAUUUCACUGUGAUUUGGAUAUUUUCACCGUUAAACUUGCAAACGGCUCAUACGGCAUUGAAAUUUGUUGAUUUUGAGCCAUUCGAUCAACUAGGCAAAUGAAUAUCGAAAAAAUAAUAAAAUUAUUUUCUAGUACUCCAAAUACUUCUUAGAUCAAUUUACCGAGCCGAUGCGACUCGAUUUGAAAGUCGCAACAUCGAAAACGAGCUGGAAUCGACGGAAGGCUCCGUGCUUGCCAAUAGCAUAGUAUAGUCUCACUCUAUAAUAUAUAUAUAUAUAUAUAUAUAUAUAUAUAGAGUCGGCUACUAUGCUAUUAAUAGUACGAAGCACUUGUGCUACCUAAUUUUUCCGCGCGUUAGAUCUAGCCCUUUUGUGAUUCAUUUCACCAGUUAGAUCAUACAUUCACCACACACCACUCAAACCAUAGGGGCCCACAUCAUCCUAACCGACAUUCUUAAUCCAAUACAACCCAACUGGGUGUAGCACAAUUGCUUGGUGCUAUUAAUAGCAUAGUAGCGCUAGUUCUAUAUGAGUCCGGCUAACUAUGCUAUUAAAUGUACGAAUGCGGCUUGUGGCUACAAGUUUUCCGCCGUUAGAAUGCUACACUUUUGAUUAUUUCAUCCGUUUAGAUCAUAACUAUUCAACCAACCACCACUCAAAUCCUAGGGGCCACAUCAAUGCCUAACCGCACCAUCUCUUCAUCCAAUGGCCCAAAAAACUGAGGUAGCACCAAUGACUUGGUGCUAUUAAUAGCAUAGUAGCCUAGUUCUACUAUGAGCCGGCUACUAUGGCUAUUAAUUGUACGAAGCACUUGGUGCUACCCAAGUUUUCCGCCGUUAGAGUCUAUCCCUUUUGAACAUUUUUCACGAUCCGUUAGAUCAUUCUAAUUCAACCAACCACCCACCAAACCCUUAAGGGGGGGGGCCCCAAUAUCAUCCUUAACGCACAUCUCUUAAUCAAUGCCGAAAACUGGGUAGCGACAAUGACUUGGUGCUAUUUAAUAGCAAUACCUAGUUCUAUAUGAGUCCGGCUAACUAUGCUAUUAAUAGUAUGAAGCACUUGGUGCUAACCAAGUUUUCCGUAGCCGUUAGAUCUACCCUUUUGACAUUAUCAUCCCGUUAGAUAUACUAUUCAUGCUAGUUAGAGUGUAAAACGGCCGGGCAGCCGGCCGCCCGGCCCGCACGGAUAUUGUACAUUCGCGGGCGGGCUCGGGCCGGCAGGCUCUUCGGGCCGUGCUGGGCUGCAUUUUCUGGGGCCGACGGCCAGGCAUGAGGAGAGCCGUUGGCCGCACAGCAGGCCCGGAACCCCUAGACCCAAGGCAAGUCUUGGCCGUGUCCCGGGGGACCUUGCGUUGGAUAAAAUCGUUUAUUUUAAAUAAUUUCGUAGCCGAUCUUAUUCAGCCAACAAACAUGCGAAAUUUUUGAAUAAAAUUUUUUUGCCAAAUAAUUGCCGAAUUAUUCGUGUUUAUUGAAAAAACUGCACUCUCUUAAUCGCAAUCCAAAACUGGGUACACCAUGACUUGGUGCUAUUAUCGCGAUAGUAACCUAGUUUAUAUAUAUAUAUAAAUAUAUAUUAUAUAUAAUAUAUAUAUAUAAUAUAUAUUAUAUAUACAAAAUGAUAAGCCAAAAGCUGUUUAAUUAAAAAAUGAAAAUUCCCCUAACUAUAUAUUCGGAGGCAAUUAACUAUAUCUGAACAUCAUAAUUUAUCUCUAAGUAAAUUUAAUAGUUUAUUUUAGAUGGCUAUUUUUGAUGUCCUAGUUUAGCAUUAGAGUUCCUGCAAACCCAAAAAAACAAAAAAUUAUAACUAAACUAAAACUGAGCUGAAAUUUCUUUGAGUACGGAUUUUUACAGUUUGAGCGUGGAAAACUUAACGAUCCAUAAUUUUUCGCUCGAGUGUUUGUUUAUUAGUGUACAAUCUCAAUUCAAAAAACACCAUUCUAGAGAAUCUAUGCAAGAGCAACACAACGUGGUUUGAACCGAUUUUGGGAUCCAAAUUUUGGGAUCCGAAUUCAACUGUUAGGUCUCUGUUUUUAUAUUAUUAAAUUAUUUUGAAAAAUUCUUAGGUCUCUGUUUCCUUUUUUUUUUUUCCGCCUCCUUUUUUUUCACAUUCAUUGUGUCAUUGAGAGAUAGACAAAACGUUCUGUAGACACAACCUCUAAACUACAACGAUCAAGCACACACUCUGCUCAUGCAAAAUACACACUCCCAGCAGCGCAUCUCACCCCUGCCGUGAUCGAAAUCGGAUCCGAAACACUGCGUGAUCUCUCGAUACCGGGUAGAUCAGACUGUCUCCUCUUUCGCGAUCUCGUACUCCACGUAUCUUAUGCCCAAUGCCUCGCAGUCGCUCUCCGAAUCGUGGCUGCAGGCCUCAUUCAGCUCCCCCGCACGGCACGACUGCACCGCCGUCAUCUGCGCCGUCCGCAGAAGCAUGUUGUCAGCCCCGCUCGUGAAGCCAUCAUCGCGUCGCACGAGUUCACAACCUCACGCGAACUCGCGACGUCCCCCGUUGCCUCCGUCGCGCCGACACCACUCUGAAUCUCGCUCUUCGCCAUCGACAUCCCCACCUUCCUUUCUCGUUCAUCACGACCUCUGACGCGCUCUUUCGUCAGCAGCAUCAGUAGUCUCGGAUUUCGCCUCUUAUCUACCUCGCUCUCUUCAGCGGGGGGAAGCAUUGUCUCAGGAACUCCUUGAAGUCGCUCACUGGAAUAGUUAUUUGGAGAUAUCGAGGAUCAAUGCCCGAGCUCUUUGUGCUAUUUUAGUCCACAUGAACGAAGGGGAAGCAAUGAACUCGCUCUCGCCGUCGAGGUCGAUGAUCGAUAUUUGAGAGUUGCAGUUAGCAUUGGCGUGGUACUUCAUGAAUCCAUUGCCAGUGAAGUUCGUGACGAGGAACCGAACGCUCGCCGUUAUAUUCGGCGAGAGUGAUUAGAGGGGGAUCAGAAUGUCGUGAAGUCGUGGAAGAGAUUUCCGACGAACCCGCCCGUCGAAGAAGACGAUCGCCGGGACUUCCGUGCCUGGAAGUGCAGAAGGGAUCUGAUCAUUUGCCGGAGAAGAAUUAUGUGAGUUCUUGAUUGAGUCCAUGGUGUUCUGCUCGCCACUUUUCGCGCGUACGGCCUGAUCUUGUAUGAUGGAUGAGAGGUGUUGUUGUUGUUGUCGAAGGCCGCCGAGAUGAUGACCAAAACGCGACAAUUUGAUAUCGCGUGGUCGCCAGGUAACAAGUGUCAGAUCUUUGUUUGGCGAGUAGUCGCAAACCGAUUUUGUUCUUUGGAUUUAAACAUCUGUGUUUGACAGAGAACUGUAUAUUAGAAUAUAUGUGAUGGAUAAAAUACACAACACAAUUCUUUUUUCGGCUUAAUGAAGACAGCAGGUAGGCUUGCUACUUUUAUAUUCUCAAAGAAAAAAAAAAGAAGAAGAUAAAUAACCAUCUUUUGUAAAGCUGAUUCUAAUUGAUACAAAAAAUUAUCUAAUAUAUCACCCUUUUUUCCCAUUUUUGUUUAUUAAGGCUAUUGACAAAAGGUAAUUUUUUCUUGUAUCUACCAAAUGCAUAAGCUUAGAUAUCUUUAAAUAUACUUGGGGCAUGAUAUAUAGCAUUGAAUAUAUAUGGAUGCAGGCAGAACCUAUUAUAUACGUACCCUUGGGGUUGAUUUUUUUUUUUUUUGAGAGGAUAGGUAGUACGCGCUACCCGCUUGUUAUUUUAUUAGAAAUAAACUUAGCGUAGAAAUGAAUCAUUAGGAUUCGAACUUGGGUCUCAGGGUACCAACGCAAGCCUUGCCACUUGCCUAAGGGACCGGUCGGUCUGGGUGAUUCUUGCUCCUUAUUUUUGUCUCAUGGGACAGGCUCAUUAGAGCAACAACAAAAUCCUUUUUCUUUGGCUUCUCCUUCGUACCAAUGUUGACUCGAAAGAUUGAUCUUAUGAAAGGAGCAUAGAAAUUUUUUCAUUUAACAUUCCACUUACGUGCACGCUGGAUAUAAAAGGUAUAUAGAGGUGAAAAUUUUCACACCGUUAAUUAAAUAUUAAGUGCGGAAUUGAAUCCGUGAUUCCCCGCUAAAUAUUUAAAGUGGGGAUUGAUUUCACGGACCUUAAGAAUGAAGGAAGUUUAAAUAGUUCUGACAUCAUGUUCAAUAAAAUAUAAUCAACUUUAGUUCCAAAGCUAAAUAUUUAUAUUGACUAUUCCUCGGCUCAUGAGUUUGGGCACAGAAUAUUUUUCAAUAGCCCAAGGUGUGGACUUUGAAUUAAAUGAGAAAAAAGUUGUAAAUAUUAAGAGCUGACGAAACUUCAAACUCAGAGCCUCCCAGUUGAUACCAUAUUUAAAUUAAAUGAAAUAACCGUUGUUCUAGGUCAAAAUCUUUAGCUUUUGAAAAUAACGAUUGUUUCGUAUUAUUUAACACAGAUAAAGAAAAGGUUAUUACAUUCGUAUAUGCGCUAGGAUUUUCUACCUUUGAUGGUUGUCUGCUUUCUUAUCUCUAUCUCCAGACUCUUAGACGCAACAAUCUUCUUUUUUCUGCUUUCUCCUUCGCAUUACGAAUGAACAUCGCCAUUUUGAAUUCUGAAAUUUCAUAAUGCACUGCAACAAAUUUAAUCACAUUUUUUUCUCUCGCAAAAAGAAAAAUAGUUUGUUUGACGCUUCGUACGUCGCCACAAAUUUCCACUGACACAUGCAAAGUCGAAAACAUGUUCUUAGUUAUAUAAAAGGUACAAUUGCCACCGGCGCUAUACCUCGCGGGCUAUGCCAUUUCCAUCCUCCUUGGCUUCGAUCGUAGAUCUUAUCUGCGAUAUGAAUUUACAGUUUACCGAACGUAAUUCGCUCUAAAAUCCAUCUUUUUGUGAGAACGAAUAAUAGAUAGUCCUUUUAAAAACCUAGGUUUAGCAUCUAUGAGGAAACCAUGGGUGCUAGCUUCAAUGUGAGCUAGAUCCAUCAUCUCUAAACUCAUUAGGUUCCGUUUGAACCAAUAAAAGCAACAAAACCCAUCAAACCCUAGAAAUCCAAAACUAGGGUUAGAGCUUACCUCUAGGAUUUGCUCCAAAAUAAACUUUAGCUUGAUGGAGAGGAGGGAGAAGAGCUUCUUAGUCUUCUCCUUGAUCUUCUCCUUCCUUUCUCUCCUUAUCUUCUUCUUCUUUCUUCCUCUUUUCUUCUUCUCCUUCUUUUUCUCCUUCAACCGGUUAGAGAGAGAGAGAGGGAGCUAGAGAGAGAGAGAGGCUGUGAGAGUGGGAGAGGGCACAGCUGAGGAUAGGAGGGUUAAGUCCUCUAUUGUAACAAUGUGCUAAAAAGCCCUCCAUUUAUCAGAUUUUGCAACUUAACCCGCUACCUGCGCGCCCUUGUACCGGUACACGGGACCUUGUACCGGUACAAGGCCUUAUACCGAGCGCAAAUCGAGCCUCGGGUUUCUGUGUUUCGCAGAGCUUGUACCGGUACAAGCCAGCCUUGUACCGGUACAGCGCCUGAAGCCUUCGAACCCGAGAGCUACGCAGCCUGGCUGCGAUGGCUGUACCGGCACAGCCAUCACCCUUGUACCGGUACAGCAGCUCCAGAAUGCUGUUUUAACUUCGUUUCGGCUCCACUUCGCGCCGAUCGAUGUCCAAGCUAUUCCAACGCCUUUAGAACUCAUUUUUGCUCUUCCAAAUUGUUGGAAUACCGAAUGGAACUUGUCCAAAUCGUUCAAUCGCCCACUUUGAUCCAUUUGGCCAAAGUUAGCCAAUAUCGUCGAAAUUCGAUAUCUCACAUUCUCCACCCCUUAAAAGGAGUUUCGUCCUCGAAACAACUCAACUCUUAAAUCGAACUUAAACUCUUACCUCAAUCCUUGAACAAGUGAGGAUGAUUCGCUUUCAUCCGGUCCUCGAGUUCCCAAGUGGCUUCGCGAUCGUCGUGAUUGCUCCACCGGACUUUAACAUAGGAAAUUUCUCGAUUCCUUAGCUUACGCACCUCUCGAGCCAAAAUCUCUACCGGAAACUCUUCAUAGCUCAAAUCAUCUUGAAGUUCCGGCGGCUCAUAAAGCAUCGCAUGCUCGGGGUCGUAAAUAUACUUGCGAAGAUUGGAGACGUGGAACACAUUGUGCACACCCGCAAGCUUUGGGGGCAAUGCAAGUCGAUACGCCACCGUCCCAAUUCGCUCCAAAAUCUCGUAGGGGCCAAUGUAACGAGGACUCAACUUUCCUCGUACCCCAAAUCGUUUCACGCCUCGCAUCGGCGAAACCUUCAAGAAUACGCGGUCACCCACCGCGAACUCCAAAUCUCGCCGGCGUCUAUCCGCAUAGCUUUGCUGUCUCGACUGCGCCGUAAGCAAUCUCUUGCGAGCAAGGCGGACUUUCUCUUCCACUUCUCGCAACACAUCCAGGCCGAACUCCGCACGCUCACCUACAUCGCUCCAGUGUAUAGGAGAUCGACAUAUCCGUCCAUAGAGGACCUCAAACGGUGCCAUCUCCACACUAGCAUGAUAACUAUUAUUGUAGGCGAACUCGGCCAUCGUUAGGUGGUCACACCAACUUUCUUUAUAGUCAAUGACACACGCUCGCAACAUAUCCUCCAGAGUUUGAAUGGUUCUCUCCGUUUGCCCAUCGGUCUGGGGAUGAAAUGCGGUGCUAAAGUCCAGCCGUGUGCCAAGGGCUUCCUGCAGGCUCUUCCAAAAAUGCGAAGUGAAUCGGGGGUCACGAUCCGACACGAUAGUUUUCGGCACCCCAUGCAGUCUCACUACCUCGUCAAGGUAUACCUGCGCUAACUUGUCACCCGACCACGUGGUAUGGAUCGGUAAGAAGUGAGCCGACUUCGUCAAUCGGUCCACAAUUACCCAAAUUGCAUCGUGGCCGCCCUUUAAGCAGGGUAAGCCGACCACGAAGUCCAUCGAUAUAUCCUCCCAUUUUCAAACGGGGAUUGGUAGGCUUUGAAGCUUUCCCGCUGGAAAUCGAUGCUCGGCCUUCACUUGUUGGCAUGCAAGGCACUUCGCCACAAAGCGCCCGAUGUCAGCUUUCAUUCCCGGCCACCAGUAGUGCAUUUUUAGGCCUUGGUACAUCUUGGUGCCGCCCGGGUGACCACCAUACGGGGACCAAUGCGACUCCUGGAGUAUAAGCUUGCGAAGCUCCCCAUUAGCGGGUACACACCUCCGAUUCCGAAACCGAAGCGUACCAUCGACGUCUACAUUGAACUCGCCGCCAUGACCUUCCUCGAUGUUUCGCCGCACCUUUUGGAGUUCUGGGUCCACAAGUUGCAGAUCUUUGAUCCUCUCCAACAAGGUCGGUUGGACAACGAGUGCCAUCAACUGAAUCGGGACCUCGGGAGCAACCACUUCAAGGUCCAAUCGCUCCAUAUCCAGCCCUAGGGGUUUUUGCUGGGUAACAUCAAAAGCGAGGUUCUUCGCCGUCUUCCUACUCAGCGCAUCCGCGACCACAUUAGCCUUCCCGGGGUGGUAAAGGAUAUCAACGUCAUAAUCCUUCAAUAGCUCCAACCACCGCCGCUGACGCAUAUUGAGCUCUUUCUGUGUGAACAGAUACUUCAAGCUCUUAUGGUCGGUGUAGAUCUCGCAAUGAGCACCAUAUAAAUAAUGUCUCCAAAGCUUUAAGGCAAAGAUUACCGCCGCCAACUCUAGGUCGUGAAUGGGGUAAUUCUUUUCAUAGCUCUUAAGCUGACGAGAUGCAUAAGCGAUAACCUUCCCGCCCUGCAUCAGCACACACCCCAAGCCCAGAUAAGAAGCAUCACUGUAGACGACGUAGUCCUGCCCUUGCACCAGUAAGGCGAGUACCGGAGUCAAAGUUAACCUCUGCUUCAACUCUUUAAAGCUCCGGUCACACUCGUCACUCCAAACGAACUUGGUGCCUUUUUGCGUCAAACGGGUAAGUGGAGUCACAAUCUUAGAGAACCCCUCCACAAACCGUCGAUAAUAACUGGCUAGGCCCACAAAACUACGGACCUCGGUAACAUUCGUCGGCCGCGGCCAAUUCUCAAUAGCCUCCACUUUCCUCGGGUCAACUAAAACUCCACCCUCGGAAAUAACAUGCCCGAGAAACGCAACCUCUCGAAGCCAAAAGUCGCAUUUCUUCAGCUUUGCGUACAAUGUCUUCUCCCGAAGAAUCUGAAGUACUGCGCGCAAAUGCUCCGCGUGCUCCUCGUCGCUACGCGAAUAUACCAAAAUAUCGUCUAUGAAGGCUACGACAAAUCGGUCCAAGCACCCCUGGAACACUCGGUUCAUCAAGCUCAUAACGCUGCCGGGGCAAUCGUGAGCCCAAAUGGCAUCACCGUGAACUCGUAGUGUCCAUAACGCGUGCGGAACGUCGUCUUCUGAACAUCUUCCGGCUUGAUCUUUAACUGGUGAUAGCCGGACUGAAGGUCGAUCUUAGAAUACACUCGCGACCCCUACAACUGAUCAAACAAGUCAUCAAUACGGGGUAGCGGGUACUUGUUCUUCCCCGUGACCUUGUUCAACUAGCGGUAAUCCACGCAGAGUCGAAAUGACCGAUCUUUCUUGCGCACAAAUAAUACCGGGGCACCCCACGGCGAAACACUCAGCCUAAUGAAUUCCUUGUCGAGAAGAUCCUGCAAUUGAUCUCUCAACUCCCUUAGCUCGGCCGGCGCCAUGCGAUACGGGGCCUCAGAAAUCGGCGCUGUCCCAGGAACCAAGUCGAUCAUGAACUCGAUCUCCCGGUCUGGCGGCAUACCCGGUAACUCCGCGGGAAAAACGUCGGGGAACUCCCGCACAACCGCCAACUCCUCGAGGAUUGGAACUGCUCGGUCAAUCUCCACAACGGUCGCCAAAUAAGCGAUGCAACCGCUGUUCACCAGCUUCCUCGCUCUAGUCGCCGAUACCAUCGCGGCGAAACACGAGCUCUUACAAGCUCAAUAGGUAAACUCUUCCUGUCCCGGCUCCCGAAAUGUAAUAACUCGAGUCGGGCAAUCGAUCGAUACAUAGUACUUCGAGAGCCAAUCCAUGCCCAAUAUGACAUCGAAUUCCUUCAACUUCUUGAGCACCAACAAGUUGAUCGGCAUAACCCAGUCAUUCACUCGCACUGGACAUGCCAAGCAUCACUUCCUAAUCAGAAAGGAUCACCCGGGGCCCUCAACAUGUCAAACGUGCUCCCCAAGACGAUACUCAAUAUCAUGCGCUCGUGCAAAUGAUCGACUAAUGAAUGAGUGUGAUGCACCUGUAUCAAACAAAGCUCUAGCUCGAACAUCUUUAACCAAAAUUAUACCUGCCACAACAUUGCGCUCGCCGGCCUCUGAAGGCUCCUCAAUGUGAGCGGGUGCAGCAUACAUCCUUCCGCUCGGCGCAGAUCGUGCAGGCUCUGGUUGGCGUGGCGCCGCCGCUCGCCCAGUAGAUGCUGCAGGAGAGGGCAGAGCAUAGCGAGCUGGAACCGCCGGGGCCGAUGCAGUCGACAUAGCGGGCGAAGCUUCUCCCUGAGGACAGUCGCAAAUCUGAUGUCCCGCUUGCCCGCACUUGAAGCACCUCCCUCGGCGCUACUCACAAACACCCGGCCGGUGGUCUCCGCCGCAGAAGACGCAUCGCUGAGCACCACGACCCUUGGGCUGUGAGCGUUGAUACUUCGGGGGCCUCCUGGAGCUCGACUAGCCACCCGAUCCACCGCCCUGUCUUUUCUUGCCUUUAUCCUUGUCAAACGCCUCACGGUCCUCACGCUCGCAAGCGUUCUCGUGCUCGACCCAUAGCGCGAGAUCUAGUGCUCCCGCCAAAGUGUGGAACUUGAAGGCAUGCACCAACUUGAACACUCCGGGCCGAAGACCUCGAACGAAGCAAUCCGCCCGGUCUUGCUCUGUCGCCGCUACAUCCGGGACGCAGCUCAGGAGAUGGGUGAACUCCCGCUCGUACUCCCGAACUGUGCAGUUGCCUUGCUUGAGCUUGCGGAAAUCUUCCCGCAUCUUCCUCUUAUCACUGUCGGGGACGUACUCGGCGAACAUCAGCUUGCGGAACUCCGCCCAAUCGAUCGGGGGAAGCUCCAGGGAUCGGUCCUGCUUGACCCUCCACCACCAAGUCUUGGCCCGCUUCUCAAAGCAAUGCGCGGCCAAGUUCACCUUGUCCUUCUCCAAGGUGAAAAUGUCCUCAAAUAGGGUCUCCAUAGUCGUCAGCCAAGACUCCACCGCAGCUGGAUCCACCACCUCUCCGUCGAAAGUAGGCGGGCGAAACUUCGUGAACCUCGUGAGCGCCACGUAGCCUCGCUCACGCUCCGCCUCCUCAGCCGCCACCGCGGGGGUAGGAGAACUCGAACUAACCGGAGGAAUAUCCACCGGUGGGGGUUGCGCCGCCACCGGAACCGAAAUGCCACCCACACCCUCGGCCGCAUCAGGGGCGCGAAUCGAAGGCGCAGGCGGACCGCGGCCUGGAUCCGCUGCCGCAGCCGCCGCCGCAGCCUGCUGCUCCAGCAGCUCCUGAAUCCUAUCGAAUCGUCCAGUGAGCGCCACAACAUGCGCUCGCAACUCCUGCACCUCAGUAGGCCCAGCUGGCACUGGCGCCACUGGAGGCACGGCUGUCUCGGGCACCUCUCGAGGUGGUGCCGGAGCGGUCCUACGCACGUAGCGUCUCUUUGGUGCCAUAGCUCCUGAAACGCAAACCGUUGGUUAAUUACUUAACUCGACAACAUCGUCGUAAACACGAAGUAUAACGAUUAAACAACAUCAAUCAGGCGGUAGCUUGCAAGUGUCUUAGUUCUCGACUCUCGGCAUCGUGUUGUCGGCCGCCAACACAAUCACCUUAAGUCAAAAAUUAAUACCACUUGGAUCAUCUCUAGCCAUAACUAGAGUCUCAACAACUCCAAACCCAAUCAUUUAGCUUCCGCCGCGUCAUAGAUUCACGUCGCACUCACGCACCUAUAACCUUAGGGUUAACCAACCUAGAGUCUCCUAGGUCAUCCUAGACUCUCUCUUUUGCUUGCUCUUAACUCGCUCUGAUACCACUAAACUGUCACGUCCCUGACCGCACCACCCGAAAACGGUACCAAUUUGGUCCGGUUCGGGGGCGGCGGGCGCGACCGCCGGACGGACGGAGUUUCCCCUGUCCGCCGAAGGCUAAGCAACAGAUUGUGUACAACAAGUCCCCAGGAAUACAACUUGAAUACAUACACAAUCAAACAACGAUAAUCGAGAGCACAAACAGUGCUACGACCAACUAGAGCAAGCGAUACCAGUAAAACCAUACAAGUUUAUACAAAGAGAGCAACUUAGCUAUUUGAGACAUCAUUGAAACAUUAACCUCUUUCGAUUUCAUUUAACUUUAAACAUUUGAUACAACUUGCGUUCUUUAUCCAAAAUGAAUAUAAAUCAUAAGCUCUCCAAAUCUCACUCUAUACAAAAACUACUCUCAAAUGUAUAACCAAAAGUACGGUAGAGCUAAUGCAAGUAGGAAGGUAAAGCAAUCAACAACUGCUAGGGCGCUAUGCCCUUGCGCGCAUCAUCGACGAAGGCCCGCUGUCCUGUAUACCUGUACCCCCAGAGCCACACGGGGUGAGAACUACAUAGUUCCCAGUGGGUUCGGCCGCGACUCCGCCGAUCUAACCACUAGGUCUCAAGUAGGCAUAGAGAAUAUAUACUGCAAUAUAUAUAUAAAACAAAGUUGACGGGAAAGCGAGUAUGUAAAACUAAUCAAGCUAUGACCUCAAUCUGGAAUCAUGAAUGCAUGAACAAUAAACAAAGCUGUGGUAAAUAAGCAACUAUCAACAUACUACAACAGCUAUCAUAGUAACUAUAAACAUGCUACUAGGUAAGCAGUAAGCUGAUAUGAACAAUGAAUAGCUUACUAUGACAUCAAUAAUGGGUAAGACUCAAUGGGUAACCCAAUCUCCAAAUGAACACAAGGUUCACAAGCAAGGCUCACAUAUGCAAUCUCCUAGGGAUGUCGAGCUGGACUAUCCCCGAGUACGCCUGCGGAUAACAAGCGGCUAUCCGAGCAGCAAGCAGGGCUGCUCUCUAGUGACCAAAUCUCCGGAGCGCACAACUUGAGGGAGCGACCCACCAAGCCAGACAGGCAAUUGAGCCAAGAUUCAUCACGAGCAACAAACAACAACCCUUUGAGGGAAUAUCAUCAUGGAAGCGAGGGUAUACAUGUACCCAAUCUCAUGGUGUCUCAACUACACUAAUGUGAUCAUCAAGGAAACAUCAACAAUGUCAUUCAUCAUGUUUUUCUAACAGAUGCCACUUGUUCAUAGUUUUCUUAACUAGAUGCACUCGGCUCAAUUUGACUCAUUAUCAACACUAGUUUCCUCAUACUAGUUCUUAGCAACAUAAGCAUUAACAUUUCAUAUAGGGUCUAGAUUUUCAUCAAGCAACCUCAUGCAUACUAGAUCUAAAACCAACCAAGCAAUAUAUAUAUUAUUGAACUAAUAGUAUGCAAGUAUAAGCACAAUAAUCAUUUUCAACCCUAUAUGUAUUAUGCACAAUAUGCAAAUGAUCAAUUAAACUUAGACAUAGGAAGGUGGCGAUGACUUCGGGAUGGCACUCCCCCACCUUGGGUGAUGCGCAAACACUCCGAGACCGGCUUCUCGUGCUAGUCUUGUCGCCGCUUAAUUUUCGUUGGUUAACUUUAACCCUUUAGCGACUCGAAUAGACGGAUAUCUUCGCGCCCACUCGUCGGAUCGACGAACGUCUGCCUACGCGUUUUAUAAGCAUAAGAAAUUAGGUUUCUAACCCCUCAAAAGAGAUCAAUCCCUCACAUUUUCAAAAUCCCCAAAAUUUAACCCUAGGUUGGGAUCCAUGAGAGGUUAUGGAUUAUAGUUCAAUGUGAGCUAAUCCAUGUUCUCUAAGCUAUUAGGUUCCAUUUGAACCAUCAAAAGCAACAAAAACCAUAAAACCUAGAAAUCACAAGUUACCAUGAAAGGGGUUGGAGGCUUACUCUAGGGUUUGCUCCAAAGCAAGCCCUAGGCCAAAAACGAGAUGAGAAGGGCUUCAAAACUCUUCUCUCUUCUCCUUCCUUUCUCCUCUCUUUUCUCUCUUUUCUUCUUCUUUUCUCCAACGGUUAGAGAGAGAGAGAGAGCUUAGAGAGAGAGAGGGGCUGUGGGGAGUGAGAGAGGAGAGAGCUGAGGGCAUGAGGGUUAAGUCCUCUAUUGUAACAAAAUGCUAAAAAGCCCUCAUUUUAUCAGAUUUUGCAACUUAACCCGCUGCUGCGCGCUCGUGUACCGGUACACGGGUUUGCGUACCGGUACGCGCCCUGCGUAACGGCCAAACCCGAGAGCAAACCCGAGGGCUGCGCAGCCUGGCAGCAAUGGCUGUACCGGUACAGCCAUCAUGCGUGUACCGGUACACCAGCUCCAGAAAGCUGUUUUCAGCCUCGCUUCGGCUCCACUUCGCGCCAAUCGACGUCAAACCCAUUCCAACACCUUUGGAACUCAUUUUAGCUCUUCCAAACUCGUUGGAAUACCGAAUGGGACUUGUCCCAACUUCCGAUCGCUCACUUUGGUCCAUUGUGCCAAAGUUAGCCGUUUUCGUCGAAUUUCGAUAUCUUACACCCGUACUACCCAGACUAUCACCGGUUAAGCAACUUGAUAGAGGCCAAACCUGAGAGCUGGCUUCUAGGGUGGCCUGCCUGGUACCGGUACUGCCCUGGUGCUUCACUGGUUAAGUAGUGCCCAGACUGCAGUUUGGGCAGUGUUUGGCUCCAAUUCGCGCCGAGCAAUGCUAAAACUCUUCAAUCGCAUUCGAAAUUUAACUCUAACCCCUCCAACACUGUUGGAGUGUCAAUUGGACUUUGUCCAACCAUUUCUCUCACCAAAUUUUGGUCAAUUUGACUAAAGUUCGAUAUAGCCUACCGAGGUUUCGAUAUAUUACAUUCUCCACUGCUUAAAAAUAGUUUUGUCCGUGAAACUAAACACAUACCUUAGCUUGUCGACUCGAAUAAGUGAGGAUACAUCUUUCGCAUUGUCUCCUCAAGCUCCCAAGUGGCUUCACGCACUGCAUGAUUGCUCCACUGGACUUUAACGUAGGGGAUUGUGCGACUUCGCAACCUCCUUUCUUCUCUACCGAGGAUACACACCGGGUACUCCUCAUAGGUCAUGUCCUCGCGUAACUCCACGGGCUCAUACUCUACCACGUGAGUCGAAUUGCGGAUAUACUUGCGGAGAUUCGACACGUGAAACACAUUGUGAACUCCCGCAAGCCUCGGUGGUAAUGCAAGCUUGUAUGCCACCGCACCGACCAGCUCCAAUAUCUCGAACGGUCCAACAUACCGGGGACUUAGCUUCCCAUGGACCCCAAAUCAUUUUACACCUCGCAUAGGUGAUACUUUCAAGAACACGCGGUCUCCAACCGCGAACUCUAAAUCUUUUCUAUGUUUGUUGGCAUAGGUUUGCUGUCUUGAUUGCGCCGUCGCAAGCCGUUGACGAGCAAGGCGAACUUUCUCUUCCGCCUCUCGCAACACAUUGGGACCAAGAGUAACUCUCUUACCCACUUCGCUCCAAUGGAUAGGAGAACGACACUUCUUUCCAUACAAAGCUUCAAAUGGCGCCAUCGCGAUGCUUUCUUGAUAGCUAUUAUUGUACGCGAAUUCUGCCAUCGGCAAAUAAUCGUGCCAUCCGCCCUUGUAAUCAAGUACACACGCUCGAAGCAUGUCCUCAAGGAUUUGUAUUGUCCUUUCUGAUUGACCGCCACUUUGAGGAUAGAAUGUCGUAAGUUGAGCCAUGUGCCCAAAGCGUCUUGCAAGCUCCUCCAAAAAUAAGAUGUGAACCUAGGGUCUCGGUCCGAUACUAUAGACACCAGAACCCUAUGAAGUCUCACAACCUCGUCAAGAUAUACUUAAGAUAACUUAUCUCCGGACCAUGUAGUGUAGAUCGGCAAGAAGUGUGCCGAUUUCGUCAAUCGAUCCACUAUUACCUAAAUUGCAUAGUGUCUGCCUUGAGAUCGAGGCAAACCGAUCACAAAAUCCAUUGCGAUGUCCUCUCAUUUCCAAACGGGUAUUGAUAGACUUUGCAACUUUCCCGCCGAAAACCGGCGCUCCACUUUUACUUGUUGGCACGUAAGACAUUGCGCUACGAACUCCCCAAUAUCUCUUUUCAUGCCCGGCCACCAAUAAUGCACUUUUAGGUCUUGGUACAUCCUUGUGCCCCCCGGGUGAAUACUAUAGGGAGAUUGAUGCGCCUCUUGCAUAAUCGCCUUUCGAAUGUCCUCAUUUUUAGGCACACACCAACGAUUUCGGAAUCGAAGUACGCCAUCGGUCCCAAUGCCAAAAUCAUCGGCACUACCGUUUUUAACUUCACCAUGCACCUUUUGAAGAUAUGCAUCAAAAGCUUGUUGCUCUUUAAUCUUCUCCAAUAAGGUUGGUCGCACAACCAAUGUAGCAAGAGUAGCCGGCACUCCCAGAGCUACCACUUCAAGACCAAACAGUUGCAUCUCUUUUUGCAAUAAUGGUUGGGGUGUAAUUGCCGUAGCCAAGUUUUUCACCGAUUUUCUACUUAGAGCAUCGGCCACGACAUUUGCUCUUCCGGGGUGGUAUAGAAUAGUGAUGUCGUAGUCCUUUAGUAACUCUAAUCACCGCCGCUGUCGCAUAUUUAAUUCUUUUUCGGUGAACAAGUAUUUAAGACUCUUGUGAUCUGUGUAGAUCUCACAAUGCUCACCGUACAAGUAAUGCCUCCACAACUUUAGCGUGAAAAUCACCGCGGCUAGCUCAAGGUCAUGAAUUGGAUAGUUCUUUUCAUAACUCUUCAAUUGACGAGAAGUAUAAGCUAUAACUCGACCAUUUUGCAUCAAGACACACUCGAGACCAAUAUAUGAAGCAUCACUGUACACUACAAAGCUCUCCCCCGGAGUCUGUAGAGCAAGCACCGGGGUCUAUGUCAAUCUUUCCUUUAAUUCCUCGAAGCUCCGAUCGCAAUCGUCGCUCCAAACGUACUUCACCCCUUUGUGCGUAAGGAGCGUUAGUGGAGUAGUUAUUUUAGCAAACCCCUCCACGAACCGCCGAUAGUAUCCCGCAAGUCCAAGAAAGCUACGGAUCUCCACAACACGGGCGAGGCCAAUCCCUAAUUGCCUCGACUUUCUUCGGAUCCACCGAGACGCCGCUCCGGGAUAUCACAUGGCCUAGGAAGGUAACCUCCGAAAGCCAAAAAUCACAUUUCUUUAGCUUGGCAUAAAGCUUCUCUUUUCGAAGUAUUUGCAACACGGUUCUCAAAUGCUACUUGUGUUCCUCCUCGCUCCGAGAAUAAACCAACACGUCGUCAUGAACACCACGACGCAUCGAUCCAAUAACGGUCGAAAGACUCGAUUCACCAAGUCCAUAAAUGCUGUCGGGGCAUUAGUAAGCCCAAACGACAUUACCGUGAACUCGUAGUGGCCAUACCGCGUACGAUACACCGUUUUGUGCACAUCCUUCGGCCUGAUCUUCAACUGAUGAUACCCCGACUGAAGAUCAAUCUUUGAGUAUACCCGCAACCCUUUCAACUGGUCGAAUAGAUCAUCAAUCCUCGGUAACGGGUACUUGUUCUUGAUUGUCACUUUGUUCAACUCGCGAUAAUCCACGUAGAGUCGAAGUAUGACAUCCUUUUUCUUCACAAAUAGCACCGGAGCUCCCCACGGUGAUACGCUCGGCCUCACAAAGCCUUUAUCGAGCAAGUCUUGCAAUUGGGUUUUUAGCUCUACUAGCUCCGCCGGUGCCAUUCUAUACGGAGCCUUCGAAAUUGGCGCUGCCCCGGGAACCAAGUCAAUGCCGAACUCAAUCUCCCGGUCUGGUAGCAAUCCUGUAGCUCCGCCGGAAAUACAUCCGGAAAUUCACAUGCUACCCGAAUGUUCCCAAGUUCCGGGAGCUCCCUUUGAGUCUCUACCAUUGUCGCCAAAUAGGCCACACAUCCACCUUUAAUCAUCUUCCUCGCCCUCGCCGCCGAUACUGUCGCCGCGAAACGCGAGCUUUUACAUGCGCGAUACACUAACUCCUCUUGGUUAGGCUCACGAAAAGUGAUCACCUUGCUCUCGCAGUCGAUAACCGCAGAGUAUUUGGAGAGCCAAUCGAUCCCCAAAAUUACAUCGAAGUCCCACAUUUGGUUUAGGACUAGCAAGCCUCCCGGCAUAAUCCAAUUACCUAUCUGAACCAGACACGCCGCGCACUCCACGUGAAUACUAAAUGAAUGCUCUGGUGCAUUAACCCACCAAUAAUCCGGGCUAUACAACACCUCGAUGCCAUGAGUUUUUUCAAAUGAUGCACCAAUGAAUGAAUGAGAUGCGCCUAUGUCAAAUAAAGCUCUAGCUCUAGUACCAUUGAUCAAAAUAAUACCUGCCACGACAUCAUCUGAAACGGCAGGCUCCUCCACCUGAGUGGCGAAAACCCGUCCACUCGGUGCUCGAGAUCCCUUCGUCUGACGCGGUGCUGAUGAGCGUCCCGCCGACAUAGGAGGUGGCAACCCCGCAAGCUGCCUCGGGGUAGAAGGAACUGAUGCCGCCGUCAGAGCAGAUGACGCCCAACUCGGGCACUCCCGAAUCAUAUGCCCAACUUGGCCGCACUUGAAGCACUUUCCCACGCGCUGUGGGCAAGCCGAUGGUCGAUGCUCACCGCCGCAAAUGAUACAUCAGGUAGGCCUCCAAUUUCUUGACUGCUGUCGGGGAUAUCGAGGGGGUUUUUUAGCAUUCGGCCGGUCCCCGUCACCACUCGCCGCCCGUUUCUUUCCUUUGUCCUUAGACUCGGCCAUAGACUCGCGCUCCUCUCGUGCAUAAGCAUUGCCGUGCUCCGCCCAUAAUGCUCUAUGAAAGAUCUCCACAAGGGUCGUAAGCUUAAAGAUUUGCACUAGGACGCAGUCAAUAAUGUGGGAAACUCCUGCUCAAAGUCUCCCAUUGAACGGUCUCCUUGCUUCAACUUGUGAAACCUGUCCUGUAGCUUUCGUUUCACUGUAUCGGGGAAAUAGUUCACGAACAUCAACCUCCGGAACUCCUCCCAAAGCAUAGGCGGAAGGUCAGAAGAUCGGUCACGCUUUACCCGUUUUCACCACACCUUCGCCGCCUUCUUCAAACAGUGAGUGGCGAGGUGCACUUUAUCCUUCUCCUAGGUAUAUAUAUCCUCGAAGAGUGCUUCCAUCGCAUCGAUCCAUGACUCCACCAUCGACGGCUCCACCUUUUCCCCGUCGAACGUAGGUGGGCUAAACUUCUUGGACAUAACAAGCGCCGCCAAUGCACGCUCCCGCUCCGCCUUUGUAAGGUACCGAACUUCUAAAAUCAUGAAGUUACGUUGUCCAUUUGGUUGGAGAGCCAUUUGAAUGGUUCCGGUAAAGUUGCGGUGUAAUGUAAUAUACCGGAUUUAAAUAUAAAAAUAAAAAUAAAUAAAAAUAGUAUGAGAUACUAUUUUUAUUGGAUUUGGAGAAGUAAAAUAUGAGUUAGAAAUGACUUGUGCUGAAAUUGGAAUGAAAACAGAAGAUUUAGAAUUUUCUGUGAGAGACGGGGCAGAUAAAUUAGCAGAAAAUGCACAGUCUCAGAAAAUUAUGAAAAUUGGAGGACAAGUCAGAAAUAUUUUUAUGAGGCUAGAUUUAAGGUUUCAUAUUUUUCUGACACCCGUAGAGUGAGAAAUAAAAUCCGACAGUUAUCUGAUAAAGAUUACAGUUCGGUACAGUUUUCAGUGACCAAACGGGGUCGAAACUGAAAAGUUAAGAUAUAUUCUUACUCAGUACGUUAAACUGAGUCUACCUGUCAAAUUUGAGCUCAAUCGGACAUUCAGAAGGGUUCCGAUGGAACUUAUCAGAUUUGAGGGACUAAACUGAAAAGUGGAAUAGUUGAGGGGGCUGCUUGUGGAAAAGAGCAUUGCUCUUCUUCUCCUCCCUCAACCUGCGUACACAACCAGCCCCAAACCGACACACCCACACACGCAUGGAUAGGAGAAGAGAACCCUCUCUUUCUCUCUCUAAAUCUCUCCCAAAAUUAAGGGAAUUAGUGGAGAUUGAAGCUUGGAGGUGAAUCGUCAUCAUCUUCUUCAUCUUCUCCAUGGAUUGAAGCUAGUUUUGAGGUAAGCUUUUGCUACCCUUUAAUGGUAGAUCUCUAGAUAUGGGGUUUUGAUCUCUAGAAAUGGAUUUAGAGCUAUUCUAGCAUGCUAAAUAGACACUUGAAUACCGUAUAGCCACAUGGAAUUGUGGACAAUACUCUUUUGAGAAUUGGAAGUCGAGAUAUGCCGGGGUAGGCCAUCUCGUGGUAGAGCAAGGUCCGAAUAUGGUUAGAACACUCGCGAUUGGGUGAUGCACCAAUGAUAUUGCUUUUGAGCAAUGUUGGUAGUCGAAUCGCAAUGCCCCGAGGGGGGAAAAGCAAAUGCAAAGAAGAGUUCUUGCAUGCCGAAUGGUGAGUGAUGUUGGAACGCGUAGAGUCGUUGAGCUUCGACUUGCGUAACCACCAAGAAUGACGGAGACCCGUAAUGCACUUUCGGAGUUACGCUUAGCGAAUGUGAGUGAAUCUGGUCUCACAUCCUCCUUAAUGGACCUCUAAGUUGUUCCAAUAAGUGAAAGACCGCUCCGAGAUGCGAAAGUGCAUUGGAACCCUCGAUUACUCGAUGAGUUAAAUUGAGGUGUGAGUUGGAGAUGGAGUUGAUUGAGUUUCGAGGACGAAACUCUUAUUAAGGAGGGGAGAAUGUAAGGUACCGAACUUCUAAAAUUAUGAAGUUACGUUGUCCAUUUGGUUGGAGAGCCAUUUGAAUGGUUCCGGUAAGGUUGCGGUGUAAUGUAAUAUACCGGAUUUAAAUAUAAAAAUAAAAAUAAAUAAAAAUAGUAUGAGAUACUAUUUUUAUUGGAUUUGGAGAAGUGAAAUAUGAGUUAGAAAUGACUUGUGCUGAAAUCGGAAUGAAAACAGAAGAUUUAGAAUUUUCUGUGAGAGACGGGGCAGAUAAAUUAGCAGAAAAUGCACAGUCUCAGAAAAUUAUGAAAAUUGGAGGACAAGUCAGAAAUAUUUUUAUGAGGCUAGAUUUAAGGUUUCAUAUUUUUCUGACACCCGUAGAGUGAGAAAUAAAAUCCGACAGUUAUCUGAUAAAGAUUACAGUUCGGUACAGUUUUCAGUGACCAAACGGGGUCGAAACUGAAAAGUUAAGAUAUAUUCUUACUCAGUACGUUAAACUGAGUCUGCCUGUCAAAUUUGAGCUCAAUCGGACAUUCAGAAGGGUUCCGAUGGAACUUAUCAGAUUUGAGGGACUAAACUGAAAAGUGGAAUAGUUGAGGGGGCUGCUUGUGGAAAAGAGCAUUGCUCUUCUUCUCCUCCCUCAACCUGCGUACACAACCAGCCCCAAACCGACACACCCACACACGCAUGGAUAGGAGAAGAGAACCCUCUCUUUCUCUCUCUAAAUCUCUCCCAAAAUUAAAGGAAUUAGUGGAGAUUGAAGCUUGGAGGUGAAUCGUCAUCAUCUUCUUCAUCUUCUCCAUGGAUUGAAGCUAGUUUUGAGGUAAGGUUUUGCUACCCUUUAAUGGUAGAUCUCUAGAUAUGGGGUUUUGAUCUCUAGAAAUGGAUUUAGAGCUAUUCUAGAAUGCUAAAUAGACGAUUGAUGCUUGAAUCAUAGAUCGAUUUAAUGAUUUAUUGCCUAGUUGUAACAUAGGGCUCUAAAAUGCAAGUUUUGCUACUAGUAGGGUUUGAUCUCAUUUAACCCUCUGUAAACCUAAUUGAUAGGUCACUGAACGCGUUGGAAGCGACGGUUCGGCGUUGGAAGCGACGGUUCGGCGAUUCGUCGAGCCGGUGCAAAGUUAUUAAAGAAACGGACGUUUAGGCUUCGUUUCCGCCUGGAGGGCCGAGGCGACGUCGUAAAAUCGUGGAAACGGAUUUGAAGCACCGUAGCGAGAAACCGAAGACCUAUAAUUUCCAGAUCGCGGAUCGGAGGUCGUUUGGUGGUCGCGCACCGAUUGGGUCGAGCCGAGCGGCGUGCGCCGCGGGAGGCCGAUUGCAAGUGACGACGAGCAAUCGGAACGCGGUAAAAGGUGGGGGAGUGCCAUCCCGAAGCAAUCGGGUUUCUCCUUAUGUCUAAGUAUUUCUAUGUUGAUCAAUUAUGCAUAUUGAGCAUGAUGCAUUAUAGGGUGAUAGUUGAUGGUUGGUUCUAUAUAUAUAUAUAUUGCAUGCUUCUUGAAAGAGUAAUGUAUUUGGCUUAGUGCUUAUAUCUAGCAUGCUUGAGGUUUAUAUAUGCGAUGUGAAACCCUAUAAGAAAUGAUAGGUGUAGAUGAGAACUUAGUAAUAUAUUGGCUAUUGCAUUGGAAACUUUAAACAUGUCAUUGAUCAAGUUGCAUAUUAUGAUGUUGCAUAUAGGGUGUUUAGAAACUUGUAUCUAUAUUUGCAUGCUAGUGGUAAUGUAGCUUGGUAGAUAUAACACUUGAAUCUAGUAUGCAUGAAGUUAGUAUGUGCACCUUAACCCUAUAUGAGAUAAUAUGUAACGGAUUGGAACCUAGGCAAAUGAUAACCUAGUGUUUGUGUUGUGUGAACGAAGAACCUAGUAAAGUGUGAACUAGAGUCUUGGAAACUUGUAAAGGACGAGUGGCAUCUAGUUAAUGUUAACCUAUGACGAGUGGCAUCUAGUUGAUAGCACAUAUGAGAACCUUAGUGUAGUUGAAACACUAGAAGGUUGAGUAUUAGAUUGGCAUUGAGUUGAUGAGUUGUUAACCCUAGAUAAUAGGGUGUUCCCAGUGGAUGACACUAUCCUUAGUUGAUAGGAUGUUCCCAGUUCAUGAGAUUGGAUCGAGCUCACAUAGCCUGUCUGCACCUGUGGAGGUCGCUCCUCACAGGUAGUGCACUCCGGAGUUUGGCACGCGAGGGGGCCAGUGUAGUUGCCCUUGGACCAGUGUAGUGUCCGCAGGCGGUCUCGGGGUAGGUGAAGAGCUAGCCACCUCCCUAGGAGAUUGAUACACGUGAGACAGUGUGCGAGCCUUGUGUUCGCUGAGAGAUUGGGUGAUCAGAUGAAUGACAUCGUUGUUGAACCUAGUAGCAUGGUAGCUAACCUUUACUAUGAGUUGCAUCGACAUUGAGCAUAGUCACUUGGUAGUUGGACUAGUGGAUUUGCCUACAUACAGUGAGUGGACAUACUAUUCCUUCACCUAUGAGAUUUGAGAGGGACAGCUUGUACCUAGUAGAGCGAGAUUGAGUCGGGCAAGGAGCGGGGUAGCUCUUUGCCUAGGACCUUUGAGAUUGAGUCGGGCGAGGAGCGGGGUAGCUCUUUGCCUAGGACUUUCGAGAUUGGGUCG